UUGUUUUAGAAAGGUGAUGGCUUUCCUGCAGAUGAAGAGGGUGUUUGCUAGUGUCCUACGGCGAUUUAAGGUGGUGCCGGCAAUAGAGAAAGGAGUGGAGCCGAUGUUCUUGUAGGGAUUUAAGGUGCUGGUGUCUUUCGGUUUUGCCUUUAAAAAUAUGCUCACGUGAGAGAGGCGUGCUAUUUUCAGUCAGAAAAUGAGCAAAUACAAGUAUUAUGAUCAAAAUGGAUCAUAAUUUAUAUGUUAGUGACGAUUCUGACCGAUUUUAAAUGCUAGGAAUUUUAAAAAAUUUUGUGAAAAUAUUAGGGACCAAUUUGACAAAUUUCCUUAAAUAUAAAAUCGAAAGUUAAGCAAUUAAAUUCUAAGCUAAAGUUUUGCAUCAAAACUACAAGAUGUGAAUUUAGUAAAACUAACUAGUUUUGGUAUGUUUGAUUUUUUUAUAAGAUAAUGAAUAAAUAAAGUGACAAAAGUAAUAUGGUUAAGAUUGAAAUUUUAAAAUUUAGAGGCCUUCUACCCUUCCCGUUUCAUCAAUCCUAUCUCACAUUGAUUAUGAGAAUUAUACUAUUAGUAAAUGAGCUUUUUCAUCGGGUGUCCACAAGGCAUUUAUUAACAUAUCUACAUUCACCUGACAUUAGGGAUGUAAUCGAGCAAAGUCAAGCUCGAGUAUUGCUAUACUCGAGCUCGACUCGGCUCAUAUAUGCCUAGGCUCGAACUCGGCUCGAGCUCGAUCGAGUCCAAAAAAUCGAUACUCGAAACUUGACUCGAAAAAUUUCCUUUAGGCUCGAGACUCGACUCGAUAAGGCUCGACCUUUAAUCAUUAGACUCGACUUGACCAAAAAAUGAGAUCAAAGGUGACGUUUUGGGAAGAUUCAAAAGCAAGCAAAUAGCUAUCAGUUGGAGUAAAUAAGGAAUAAAAUCCAUGAUUCAUCGAUACAAAUACAACCAAAAGUAUCCACAUUCUACCUCUCACAGUUAGCAUCUUUAACACCCCUAAAAAUCAGAUUCACCACAAAGAAGAAUAGAGAAGAAAAAAGGGAAACUCCCACUUGCUGGAUUGCUUGACAUGAAACUUUCAAAUUCAGCAAUUACCCAUCAACGGUAAGUGCCCACAAGAGCAGCAAAAAAUGGAUAAUUCUAAUUCCUCUGACCAUAGUUCCUAAGUGAGCUGCGAAAGUACCCAAACUAAUCAAAAUUCCCCACAAAAUUCCAAAACUCAGCAAAACAUGAGCUGAGCCACCAAAUUGAGAGACAAACAAUUAUCUCAAACAACCACAAUAUCACUAAUUAUCUCAAACAACCACAAUAUCUCAAACAGCCACAAUUAUCUCAAACAGCCACAAUAUCCCAACUACCACAAGCUCAAUUCAAGAAACCAAUGCCAAGAUCUAUCCAGAAAUUCAUUUUCCCUACAAAUAUCACUAAUUACUAACUAAAGAAAGCUGCUUUAAACAAGAACAUGUCAGAAAAAUAUAUUCCUGGUUUAGAAAUGGACCAUAGUUCAGCAGAAUUACAAGUGUUUGAACAAGAUAUAGAAGAAUGAAGUUGAAAACUCUUGUCACUAACCUGACCCAGCAAAGAUGACCUCAAUACCACCAUUAAAAUGAAAUCCCAGAGGCUGGAGCCUUUUACAGCAAAUUGCAACAGCUCUUUCCAGGCUGUUGAUUAGGCUGUCAUUUUACACAGAGGAAAGAGCAAAAGAACUGGACCCACAAGCAAAACCUUUAAACCUUAUACCACACACGACACACUCAAAAAACAAGUUUUCUAGACAUUUAUCCUACACAUUAGCAUGUCAUUAGCCAGCGGCCAGCCUGCUCACAUUGGCAUGUCACAAUAGCCAGCGGCCAGCCUGCUCACACAAUAGUCAUACAUUCGGCAAAUGAAAGAAAAAGGCUUCAAAAUAUAAACAUACUCCACAAUACAUAAUAAGUUACGUCUCAUAAAUUAACAAGGUCCAAAUUAUGAGCUAAUCUAGAUUUAGAAACAUAAAUCUUCAAAGCUUUGGCAAGUCGAAUUCUUUGAUUGUCUUGGCUUCCUACAAAAAGCAUAGAGGUAAAAACACAAAAAAAGUUACAUAACUUCCCAAAAGAAUAAAUUAACUUAUACUCAAUAACUCAAAUAUAGAAGUUUGGUAGUAAAACAAUAAAGCUGACCUGUUAGCAAGCAAAGUACACUAUCUUCAUGAAUGGCAGAAUAUUGUUAAAAAAAAAAAUCAUGAACAAUUGGUGAUAUCAUUUCUAAAUUGAGGUUGUAUAAUAUGCAUUUACAGUAAGUUUAGCAAGAAUAGUAAAGCAUUGUAAUUUUUCUUAAAUAAUAAUUAUACCAUAUCAUGCUCUGUUUUAUUCCAUUUUAUGUAGUGUCCUGGAGAGAAACAAACUAUUUAAGUAGCUAAGUACUGCUAUGGAAGCAUGGACGUACGCCCAACUUUGUCACAGGGAAAUAUGUCUACGCUAAACACUGAGGCCCCAUGAGCAUGACAGAACCAGUGGUGAGAAAACGUCUUUUUGAUUAAGAAUAAUUAACACUAACGCUGGUUUUACUACGGCCAGAAUACCAAGUUUUGAAGAAAACGACGCAAAUCUAACGCAACCUUUGGUGGAUAAACAGUCAAUAAACCCCUAUUUAGAGAACAGUUCAAAAAUGAUUUUUAUAGUACCAAGGCACAGUCCAAGAAAGUUCGACAAAGCAAAUCAUCAAGCAAAGGAUACCAGAAGAGCUGCGGCGAAAAUUACCAAGACACCAACUUUAACCUUUAACAAACUCAGAGUAACCAGAUGCGGUAAUCAAUCAUACUACAUUAGAGCAGAGGUAGACAUACCAGUAACCAGAUGCGAUGGUGAUGGCGAUGGCGAUGGAGUCUCACAGAUGCGGCGAGCAACGGCGUCGGCGAUGAACGAGAGACUGAGAGUAACGGAGUGAGGGUUUAGAUCUAAAUCAGUCAGAGUCAGUGGUUGGUAAAGUGAAUUUUUCGGCGAGGCUUUCUUCGAACAGAGAAGAAAGUCUUUUCUUCCUUUUUUUUAGACAUUUUUUCUUUUUAGGUCUUUUUACAAUUAUGUUAUUACUUUUUUGCCAUUAUGGGAUUUUAUUAUAAAGAAGGGUAUAUUGUAAAUUCCAUAUAACUUAUACCCAUAACGGUCAUUUUAUAAUUAUAAUACAUAUAUAUUAUUUAAAUUAUAAAUAUAUUAUUUAAAUAACCCCGACUCGUCGAGCUACUCGACGAGCCUCGAGCCGGGAAAUUUUGGCUCGAAACUCGACUCGAUUGUCAUUCGAGCUACUCGAAACUCGACUCGAACUCGGUCAACCCGAGUUCGAGCCAAGCCGUUGACCAAGCUACUCGCGAGUAGCUCGGCUCGCGUACAUCCCUACCUGACAUACCAUCUAAUAUAAACAUACUAACAAUCAUUAUCCUCUCAUACGUUUAUAUACUUUCUCUAUUUAAUCUUAUUUAUCAUCUAUUAUAUUUAUUUACUUUCUUUAAUUAAUUUUACAAUUUUAAAAAUAUGACAUUUGAAAUAUACGUUAACGGAUAUGGACGCUCGUUACACAAACUCUAAAAUUUUACAAACUCAUUAUAACAAAUUAGAUCUUGAAGUUUCCUAGAAAACACAUCAACCUCUGAUAUUAGUUAAUAAUUUUAAUUUGAUUAACGAGUUUGCUAGAAAAAAAAAAGGAAAAUUGAAAGGAAAAAUCCAGCACGUUAAUGGUCGUCAAGUCAUGUGGAACACCUUACCAUUUGUUUCCGUUUAGCCCAAAAGCUUCCAAAUUGAAAGAUUUCUUUCUCCGUGCAUUUUUUCCCCCAGUUUCUCCAAUUCCUCUCUUCCCGAGUCCCCCUAUUAUCAAACCCCUACUACAACCUAUAGCUUAGAAUCCCGCCAGAUUUCUCCGAUCAUUUUCCGGCGAGAUCUCAAACUUCAGUCGUCGGAAAAUUUUCGUCUGAUCCGUUCUCUGUCUUCCGAUUCGGUUAAUUAAUUUCAUAGAUCAGACUGAUGGCUCCGGUUUCGGCUUUGGCUAAGUACAAGCUAGUUUUCCUAGGGGAUCAAUCCGUCGGCAAAACCAGUAUUAUCACUCGAUUCAUGUACGAUAAGUUCGAUAACACCUAUCAGGUACUAAUUAUUUUCUCCCUAAAUAACUGACUUAUCAUGUAUAUCAAUUUUUUCUUUGGAUCUGAUUUAAGCAGUGCAUUAUAUUUUGUCUUGGUUAAGGUUUUCUUUUACUUCAGGAAUUGAUGAUUAAAGUGAUGAUCUCGUGUUUUAUUAGCUUUAUACGUGAUCUGGUUUAGUUAUAUUAUGUUUUUUUGUUAGAUUAUUAGAACUUUAUCGGAUCCGACUGCUAAAAUAUAAUGCAUGAAUUGCCAAGUCUACUGGAAUUUCGAUAAUCUUGUAGGUAGAAGUGGUCUUGAAGUAAUAUCAUAAUUUUGGUCGUACUUUCUUAGUCUUCAAAGCUGUUAGAUGUGUGAUUCAGGAUUUCAAUGGCAACAAUCAUUACUACGAUAUGAAUUGGCACUCUGUUACACUCUUUGGAUUUUUUUGAGGAGGCCUGAUGAGAUAGUCUAACAAGCACUUGAGCAGUUAUGCUUGAAUUGAAGAUUUGCACAAUUGCAGUUACACUGGUUGUAUUAGAUUAAUUAUUUAUGCUGACUUUACUUUAUCAGGUUUGGGGCUGCUAUGGAAUAGUUUUUGACAUAGAUACAACAUAUCCAUUCUUUGCCUGCUUGUGUCAAACAUUUCAGUUUUCGGCUGUCUGUCUAUUGUGAGACUGCAUGGAGUCAGGCUUGUACCAGUUUGUGAACACCAUGCAUUGUCUUCUUAUUAUUGCAGUUGAUUUUCUUUUUAUUCAUCAUCUGCACGUUGUGAUAACCUUUGUUCUUAUUAGACUCUUCAUUACUAUUUUCGGCAGUGCUUCCCUGGUUCCUUUUUGCCCUUCUGUUUUGUGGUGCCAUUUUCUUGCUGUACAAUAUUUGGACUUCACAUUCUGACUGGUGCUGUCAACCUUGUUUAUAGGUUUCAUUCAUUUCUUAUCAUUUUUAUUUUGCUCCUUUUUUUCAAACUCAUGGGGUGGUAAAAGCAUUUUUGUGCUUUUCUGAUGUAAGUUGAUGUAAAGCUAGGAAUUAGGAGAUCACCUAACAUCUGAAGCCAUGGCAUACCUUUUGUUACCAAGAAUUUUACGUGAAGCUAGGAAUGUUGGACCAAGUAUGAAUUGAAAAGCAUGUUACAUCCAAAAUACAGAAUGCUAAUUUGUGUACAUCUUUAUCAAGAUAGACUCUCAACAAGUCUUGGCUACUUGAGAUUGUAAAUUUUGGUGGCUUGUAUUUGCAUGUCAUAGCAAGUUCCAUCACUUAAACUCUUAAAAAAUAGUAUAGCAACUCAAUGUUUCGUAGGUUGAGUAGAUAAAAGAAAAGAGCAACAAAAGUCCACAGACCGCCUAAUUGCACACUAAGGGCAGAGACAUUCUCUGCAGUGGCGUAGUUUGAGCUCUCACCCCAGGCCCCCCCGGGGGGGGGGGGUCGUUUGUGGGCGGGAAAUAACCUCCUACGGUUGUAGGACUUUCUAAAAUAACUUUGGUAUAGUUUAUUCUUGUGAACCUUCCUCUUUAUCUUUUGCUUUGUUUUCGGCAAGUCUUUGUAUCCGUGUAGCCCUUCAGAAAGUGUUCCCUUACCUUGAACUAAGUUGUGGAGACAGUAACUUUUAGAUAUUCAAUACUUUUAUUGCUUUGUUAUUUUCAUAUUUACCUACUCGCAAGUUUUCUUUUGAAAGCAUUUUUUGGUUGCCGUUGUAUUGAGCUCAUGAAGAAGUUAUAGAAAUGCCUUUUUAAUCACAAUCUGAAGUCUGUUAUUUCUGCUUAAAAUAGAAGUCUUCAUUCUGUUUCACAUUUUUUCCUCCAAACCUGAAAUUUCUAAAAUGGGUUCUUAUUUGUAUCUUAAAUAUCUAUUCAGGCUACAAUUGGCAUUGAUUUUCUGUCUAAGACAAUGUAUCUUGAAGAUCGAACUGUUCGACUGCAGCUCUGGUAAGUGGUUUUAACUGAGAGAAGGGGGAAAAACCCUGCACAUGUGUGCAAUUGUAUGAAAUUAGUAUGGUUCUGUUGCUUUGUCAUUCUUGCUCUGCUAAUGUAAUAAAUUCCUGGUAAUAAUUGUUCACGUACUAAGGAAGGGUGGUGAAGCUUUGAGAUAACACUUUUCAUCUUAGUUUCAUACUAAUUUUCAUGAUUUGCAUGUCAAAUUUUGGUUGGUGCGUAGUGUGGUUGUCUGCAAUUUCUGGAUUGUGCUAAGGAUAUUGGAAAAAUUUCAUUGUCAACUCAAAAAGGGUCAGCAAUUUUGGUGCAAGCUUGUGUGUGUGUGUGUGCGUGUGUUUUGGGGGGGGGGAAUUGUUGCAUAGUUGUAAUUUUAAUGUUAUACUGCAUAGUAAUUAAAUACAAUUUGAAACUCACUUGCUUAAGGUUAGAGAAAUUCAUCUUGAGCUAUGUGCUGUUUGAAAGUAAGACUAGUGGAAUGACUUUUUUUAUUUCCCCAACAUUUACUGAAUUGCUAAUUGAAGGGUUAUCUCUUCUUGUAUGUUUGUGUAGGGAUACUGCUGGACAAGAGAGAUUUAGGAGUCUCAUUCCAAGCUAUAUUAGGGACUCUUCAGUUGCUGUGAUUGUGUUUGAUGUUGCAAGUAUGCCUUUUCUUUUGUUUUACUUUUUAGCUGUCUGAGCUUAAUACAUUGCUGUGUGUUAGAUUUUAGCACAGAAGGGUUGAUUAUAGAGAUUUGGAGCUGCUUUUUCUUUAUUGGUAGCCUGAUGUCAAAUCAAAUAUUAUGGGAAAAUAAUUUUACCAAGCACAUGGUUUAUUCAUUCACUUUACUUUUAAUCCAAACCGCCUAUGUCAAAUUGUUUUUGGCAGAUAUGUAUACUGUUGUUGCAUUGUGUCAUGUUAUCUAACUGUUUUGGCUGUUUUGGGGGUUUAGGCAGACAGUCCUUCCUGAACACUUCAAAGUGGAUUGAGGAGGUUCGCACUGAGAGAGGCAGCGAUGUCAUCAUUGUCCUUGUUGGAAAUAAAACUGACCUUGUGGAUAAGAGGUAAGUAUCAUUUCAAAAUCUUUACACUUAUCCCCUCUCUCUCUCUCUCUUAAGUUAUGGACAAAACAAUGGUCCAAUUGUGGAAUUUUUUUGAGAAUCUGCCAUGGAAGUUUAAUUUGGAGCGGCUUGACCUUCCCACUAGAAUGAGCAAAUUUUAAGUGGUUUCUGGCAUAAGCAUGGUGAAUUAAUUUAGUCCCAUUGUGGUGUAUCUCACUUACAAUUGCUGCAUUUAGGAUUGGAAGAGUUCAUUAUCAUUGUCUGAUUGCUAAGCAGUCAUCAGACAUGUAAACAUGAGAGCUCAGUUUUGCAUUAUCUCGUGUAAUUUGUACCAAACACUUGGCCAUGGAUAAGCUAUUAAUUGAACCGUCUGUCAUUCUGUUACAAGAAUGAUACAAGGAGCAGCUUCACUUGACACCAAGAGUUGUGUCUGAUGAGCGCAAUCUUUAUUUAUUCAAUCGGUUGCAGGGAACUAAAACAUUCUUGCAUUCUCGCUUCUUCUGAUUUGGAUCUCAGGCAAUGGAUUAAGUAAUAUGAUGAGUGAUGAUUGAUUGUUGUGAAGUUUGUGUCUAGCUAUGAAAUGUUUGAGAGAGCGGAAACUUUGAUUCCAACUUAAGUUUGAUAGUGAUAGCAAGUGAUGAUAUUGCCAAAAACAAGAGAGGGAUGAAUGAUAUUAUGGUUAUGGGUGUAAGAAUAGUGUGAUAGAUCUGUGCUUAUGUAUCUUAUAGGAAUCCUCCAAAAAGGAAGCAUGGUGUUGCUUUUCAGUAUAAUCACAGUUACAUAUUAAUGACUCAACAAGCUUCCAACUUCCACAGUACUUGUGUUAAAUUGUUAUAUUUCUAAACACUACCUAAUAUUGUAGAAUGUUCUUUUAGAAUUUUGUUUUAACCUUUCCCUCUUCUCAUGCCUUGUCCUGUUUUUGUGUAUGUAUCAGGCAAGUUUCAAUAGAGGAAGGAGAAGCCAAAGCCCGGGACCUCAAUGUUAUGUUUAUUGAAACCAGUGCCAAGGCUGGUUUCAAUAUAAAGGUGAGUGCAGAAAUGAUCUAUGGCUUGUGUCAAAGAGUGGAAUGCUUUUGUACUUCCUCCUCCUUUUUUUUUUUCUUUUCUCGAUGGCUUCUUAGGAUGAAAGCUGAUCUAGUGUAUUUUUGGGCAUUUUGUCAAUGUUAAAUUUAUUUAUGUCAUUUGAUUUGCAGGCGCUAUUUAGAAAAAUUGCUGCAGCCUUACCUGGAAUGGAGACCCUUUCUUCUGCAAAGCAAGAAGACAUGGUUGAUGUCAAUCUCAAGUCUAGCAACACAAAUGCAUCUCAGGCCCAACAGCAGUCCGGAGGGUGUGCCUGUUGAUGAUAUUGAUUAAAGAUAACAUCUACUUAUCUUCCUCUAUAUUUUCUUUGAACCCGUGAAGUCUGUAAAUUUUUCCCAUGUCUUCCAGAGAAUUUUACAUUUUUUUUUGUGUGGUGGAUCAUAAGGGAAGUUGAACUCAAACAUCAGGUACUCGUCGUUCUAGUUAACUAGUCUAUAGUAUCUGUAAUUUUUCAUCUGUAUGAUUAAUGUCGAUUUGUAGUCUUGUAUUCAGAUUUUGGCCCGUUGCUGCCAAAUUUUGGUUUUGAAUAGGUAUGGGUUUUCAUUUUAAUGGAACUUUGUAAUUUGAUUUCUUGUUGAGAUUAUGUCAAAAGAGUUAGUAUUGGGCACACACUGUUAGAGGAGUACACCAGCAGGAUCCAACUUUUCUUGUUCUUCUUCAUUCGUCCACAUUUUGGGAGAGAGUCCACAUAUUGGGGGAGAAUGGUGGUUUCACAGCACCUACCUCCUACUCUCCUUAGAGAUAUCUAGUCAAUCCUGUGGGCGGAAUUGUGAAUAUUUCCUGCUCGAUAUCACUGACUUAAAGAUUAUGAGAAUCCGGUGCGGGAAGUUCUAUUGCAUGUUUGCUCGUGCAAUCCAAUCGGUGAGGUUUCGGUGCAUGCUCGCAUGGUAACGGUGUGUAAACUUACAGCUAUUGAUCUAACGAUUUCAGGCUUUUGACUGCUCAACGCAUUUUAAUUAAACUUGACAGAAUAAACUUUGAGUAAGCUUACUAAAUCUUAAAUGAAAUUUGAGUGCCAUUUUUCUGAUUUGCAAAUACUGCAGUAUUGCAUAUAUAAUUAAUUGUAAGCGAGUAUCAUCCAGUAGAAUGUGCAAAGCAAUUUAGUACUGCUUUCAUCCACUUUGAUAGUCCUAUUUUUUUUUUUUUUUCUAUUCCAAAUUGUAGUCCACUUUCUAAUUGAAUAAUUGAAGAAUGUAGUUGUUUUUUAAUUUCUUUAAAAUACAUUUAUUUAAUGUAAGUUGUUAUUAUUAUAAACUACCUUAUUUAAUAUAAAUUGUUAGUAUUGAAUAUAACAUACAUCAUUUAAUGCAUUUAGAUUUUUCAAAACAUAUUGAUAUAUAAAAAGAUAAUUUUAUUUAAUGUAAGGGUAUUUUAAAAAAAUAAUAAUUUAAAUUUAUUUUUUUAACAAAGUUAACUACUUUUUUUUUUUUUUUUAAAUGUGUGAAAAAAAAAUUAGCACCGUCAAAAUUGGGCAGUAUAAAAUAAAAAUUGCAGGCUGUCGAUUCUAAUCAAGAUGGAUAUUGGCAGUUCCAAAACUGAUUCGCACUCUCCAUCAUUCGAUUCUAAGCACCAGGAGGGAUGAAAAGCCGGAAGGAUUUUGACACCUUUGUCAGGUAGUGAUUGCCAUUUCAAUGAUUCGUCACUCAUUCAGGAAAUUUCAGUCAAACCAUUAACCUGUUGGGACUUGGGGGUCCCCGGGAGGCCGGGAGGGAGCAGUCCCUUAAUUGCGAGCCCCGGUUUUAUUGCAAGAGCACUGUAGUAAUUUCGGCUCGUGCGAACGAGAUUAGCGAUAGAAACAAAACCACGUGUGGGAGACGAAUCUAUCGGUUAUUCGUCAAACCGUCUUCUCCUAAAAUCUCUGAGCGUAUUCGUCAGACCUACGCACUUGCAUACUUGCAUCUCGCUCGCUUGUGGCGGCUUAAAUUUUUUUUUUUUCUCCCUCUGGAGAUUUCGGCGCCUUUCCUGGUAUUUCACUCUCAAGUUUGUCUGUGAAUUUCCUUGCCACCAUGCCAGGUCCCUCUCUUCUCUGUCAUACGUGCUUCUCUGUCAUACAUGCUCCUUUAAUUGUGUUCCUACUUUGUAUUUCUUUCUUUUGUUCUUUUUUUUUGGUAAAAACAGCGGGAAAGGGGAUGGAUGACAAUGGGCUUGUUCGAACGAAGACGUUUAAUUAGUAGGCGGCGUUGUAUCCGCUCAUCAGUGGGGUAGCUUUAGAUUGAACAUAUGAUCCUCCUUCUUUACAUUCUAUGGACACCAAAAAUUCUUUUUUUUUUAAUUUUGUAUGUGUUCUGGUACGAUGUUGCAAUCUUGAUUUUUCUUGUGUUUUACAUUGGUUUUGUUUUCUUCCAUGAAAUUUGUCAGGAUAAAGUAUUGAUCUUGAUGGGAAAUUUGUCAGGAUAAAGAAAAAGUAUUGAUUUUGAUGGAAUAUAACGAGGGUCUUGUGCCUCAACAAAUCUUACUGGUUGAUAAAUUUUUUGUUGUUGAAAUUGGAUGAGUUCGUGAGGAUUACUUUUGCAAAUAAUGGAGAAAUCAAUAAAUUGAAUGAGCUUGCGUGAUUCUUCACACACUUAAAACACUAAUUUGGAGUUUCUGCAUGAAUACAUGGCUAAUUGCUGAGCUGUUAGCUGAAAGAGUCUAUCCAAGCGAAAAAUAUGAAGGAAAGAUAAGUUGGCUGCUGGCAGAAAGAAUUUUAUAGGUGUCUGGGAACUACCUUUUACUUGACAGGAGUUCCGUUCUGGCCUUUUGUUUAAGAUUCAUUGGGAAAUUUGCAAGAUUAUUAUGGGCCACUUUUGUUGUUGAGUUGAUCAUGUGCAAUAUAUUGUUUAUCAAGAUUACUGGUAGGGGACAAAAAGUAUUGGUGCAUAUUGGCUCUUGGAUGUAUAGCAGAUUUGUUAGCUAACUUGUGGAUGAACUCUAAUAUAGGUUAUGAGGGUAUGAGGGUAAUCUACUUUUUCAACAAAGUGUAUUAUCCUAGCAAAUGAUGAAGUCACUUUAUUAAAGGGAGCAAGCUAAAAGUAUAAAUAGGCUAGUCAGGUUGAUUCAGCAGGUUUAGAGUAUUAUUCCAUAUUCACAGACGUGGAUGUCCUCUCAACUUACUUAAAUAGGACAAAGAAUAAGAAAUUGAAGAAGUUCAUCUUCUGUAGCCGCUGAAAACAUGUGGAAAAGGCAGAGAAUUACAAAAGUGUUAAAUAAAUAAACAAGAUUGGCAAGUAAAUAUCUGAAUUCAUUUCCAAUUGUUACAUACUCUCAGUUUUGCAACUAGCAGAACUUGUUGCCACCUCUUCGAGGGGAUGAAUAUUUCGGGUUUAUAAGCACUUUUUUCUCCUGUUUUUCCUUAUCUGGAUCAGUUUCCACUUUUCAUCUAAAACUUUGCCUAUGUUUUGUGUCAUUUUCUCAUAUGUUGUGCAACAUUGAAAUUGGCAAAGGAAGAGACCCCAAAUGCUUUAAGAAAUUGUGUACAUUCAAUUUAUCCUGAUGAAAGAAUUCACUGUAAAAUAAAAUUAGCAGUAGCUUGAAUGCUUGAUAUAGCUACAAUUUCACAAUGGUUCACUGGAGAUUGGUCACGUUACCUGCAUUUUCCCCCCUUAGUCAUUUAAUAGCAAUGGUUUUAUUUAUAUGUUGAUGGCAAAAUCUGAUAUGAAAAUGUUUUGGCAUGUUGUUGUUCACAGUCAAUGAGGAACCAAUAUUGAUAAAGGACAGUACUUUGAUUGAUACGCUGCCAUUUUUCCGACUCAAGCGCUGGCAGUGGUGGCUUUUGGUUGCCCUUAACAUAGUGUUUCUUCUCGUUGGUCAAGCUGCAUCUGUCCUUCUGGGAAGAUUUUAUUAUGACAAGGGUGGAAAUAGUACAUGGCUGGCCACACUCCUCCAAACAGCUGGUUUCCCGAUUCUUUUUAUCCCUUACAUAUUCAUUGGCUCCUCGUGGACACCUUCGAAUUCAGCCAAUCCUUCUCUUAUUAGAGUUUGUUUGAUCUACUUUGUCCUGGGGGCAAUGACAGCUGGGGAUAAUAUGCUCUACUCAGUUGGACUUUUGUACCUCUCUGCCUCUACUUAUUCCCUUAUUUGUGCUUUGCAGCUGGCUUUCAAUGCUGUAUUCUCUUUCUUUAUCAAUCGCCAAAAAUUCACCAUUAUGAUUCUUAAUUCUGUGAUUGUCCUCACGUUAUCUGCUUCUCUCCUUGCUGUUAAUGGUGACUCUAAUGAACCUUCAGGAGUCUCAAAAGGGAAAUAUCUCAUUGGAUUCUUAGCUACACUGGCAGCAUCUGUUCUGUAUUCACUCUUACUUUCUCUUAUGCAACUAUCGUUCCAGAAAGUCCUAAAGAAGGAAACUUUUUCUGUGGUGCUUGAAAUGCAGAUUUAUACAUCUCUGGUGGCCACUUGCAUCUCCAUUAUUGGUCUUUUUGCUAGUGGGGAUUGGUCAACAUUGCAAGGUGAAAUGAACACUUACAGCACAGGAAAACUUUCCUAUGUUAUGACUUUGGUAUGGACAGCAAUUUGUUGGCAAAUUUGUGCUGUUGGUGUGAUAGGUCUGAUAUUUUUGGUGUCAUCUUUGUUCUCUAAUGUUAUCAGUACUCUUUCUUUGGCAAUCACUCCUAUUGCUGCACUCAUAGUCUUCCAUGACAAGAUGAACGGUGUUAAGAUAAUAGCCAUGCUUAUGGCACUUUGGGGUUUUGCCUCUUAUAUUUAUCAGAAUUACAUUGAUGACAUUAAGACGAGGAAGACCCACACCAAUGCUGAAAGGACUACUAAUGACUCGUUGUGCUGAUAAUUUGGAACGGGUGGGAUGGAGUUGUGAAGAUCGCCUGGAAUUUUUGUUUAGAAAGGGUUCAUCUUAUGCCUGAGACGUUUUCUUAGCGUUGUAGGUUAUAAUUUUGUUUUCUAAACUUUACCUUAGCUGAGUGAAUUUUUUUUUCAUAUCACUUGGUAACUGAUUGACACGUUACGCAAUUCAAUUGGAUUAGAGUUAAAAGUUUUUUCAGAAUCUGUUUGAGGAAGAACGUUCUUUCUGCAGACUUGCAAUUUCCAGGAAAAAUCAUCUAUCUAAGUGGGGGAUUUAACUUGUUAGGAGCAUUUAGCUAGCUCACAAACAUGUUAUAUUUCAGUAAAAAAUGCUGUUAAAUUUCUGUGAGAUGAGACGGAAGGAGAAAGAGAUAUUAUUUGCUGGCUGCAAGUUAGCAGUGGCUUCCUCUAGGGAGGGUGCCUGGAGUUGAGGUUUAAAAGGUUUUAUCUGAAAGCAUGCAUUUGAAUUUGAUUCAUGGUGGAGGAGGCUGAGAGAAGCUAUGUACUUAAUGAUGUAAUGGAGUUGAAAUGACGCAAGUUGUAGCGGAGGCUAGGAUCAGUUUUGAUAGUCUUACAGGGCUGUAAUGGAAGAAGGAAAUUAGACUGAAGUUUCUGAAUGAUAUUUUGUGCGGGCAGUAAGAGCCUAUGGGAAAAAUCUGAGACUUGUAUACAACUGCUCUUGGAUAGUUGGGUUUUGCAACCUAAGAUAGAAGCAAACAAGUUGGAAUUUUGUGCUUGGUGAUGCCCUUUAGUGAUAGGAAUUGGAUGGCGCAAUCUGUAGUUUGUUGCUUAAGUACAGCACGGGUUGCAGAAAGAGGGAUGUUUGGAAAUGGUGGAAUGUCUAGUGCCAAGCCAUUUUGCUACAAUCUGCUGGACAGAGUUGUUGAAGCUCGACACAGUCAAAUUGAUCUGUGUGGUUAGGCAUGCUGUCCUCAUUUCUGGAAGUUGAAAACCUCAGUUCAGGUUUCCGGUGUUGCAUGCAUUAGGGGUAAUUAGUAGCGUAUGAUAAUAAACUGACAAUUCUUGAUGGUCUGAGCAAACAAUUACUGUUAACAAGUAAUUUAUGUUUACGUGAUUAUAUACACCUCAAAAAAAAAAAAGUGAAUAAAUUCGAGCAGAAAGUAGUUAGUACUUUUUUUUAAGUAUAGUGCUAGUUUACAUACAUUAAAUUGAGUGUGUUUUUCUACACCCUUUGACUUUAUCAUUCUACAUUUCAACUGACAGAGAAAGCCCUGCUCUCAUGUUAGUUCAUUAUGAACUGUUGCUGCUGAUUUGGGUAAGGUUUUGCAAUCCAAGGGGUAGUGUCAGGUGUUGCUUUGGCCUUCAUUAGUUUCUAGAAUUAGAGAGACAUGUUUGGGAGGUAAAAGAGUUGGAAGGUCAGCAUCCAGGGCUUCUUUCUGCCUGUUGUUGAGGGGUUUGAUAUGGAAGAGCAUUUGACAACUUGGAAAAUCCACAUCGAAAACUACAGCUUGUCUGACUCUUUUCUGGUUGGUUGCAACGACAAAAUCAUGGAUGCACUUUGCAGGAAAACCGCAAUAAAAUGAUCAGUUAUGUGUGCUGCUUUGGGUUUUGCCAAGCUCCUUUUUCUAGGUGGAGAGGAACAGUCAGGUUCACACCACCCAAAAAUCCAGAGAUGAAAAGGUGAGAAAGAAGAAAAAGAUGCGGCUUGUAUGCAAAAUUGUUAAAGGGUAGUGGGCUAUUUUUACUUGUUAGUACUAACUUUUAGUUCCACUAACCUUGAACCUAUCCUUCUAGAACUAGUUUGGUAAGAAGGAAAAUGACAAUGUGCACGAACGUUGGCAAUUUGAUGGUGCUUGAAACUUUUGUCACCUCGAUCCAUCAACUACUUAAACAUGAAUUGUGGUAAAGAAGAACUUACACUUAAGGCAUUGAAUUUAGAGGUUUGAGUAGGAUUAUUUGGCCUGUAAUGUUUGUGCAGCUAAACCAGGAAUAAUGAGAGAUUCUUAAACCACAAGAAUAUUUAACCUCCACCACGACAUUAUUGUCUUUUGCAAAGAAAAUUCCCCCCCCCCCCCCCGAGUCAUCGCUUGGUUGGUGCAUGAAAUUAUUACUAACACAUUCCUCCGUGACAGAAUAUUAAAAUUUUUUUUUGCUAUAAUUAAUUAGUUUCAAAUGUUAAAAUUUUUUUUUUUUGUUGCAAGAUUGAAACUAAUUUAGUUUCUGUAUUCACAUGAUAAGUCGAGUCUAAUUUAAGUUUUAAGAGUAUCCUUCAGACUCCUCUGUAGAAAAACCUGAAAAAGAGAAAAUAGGUGUUAGAAUUUGAACCCAAUGUCUUGUACCAUAUGUAUCUUCGAUUACUUAAAUGGAAUAAUUUUGUCAACACGUUUCUUGAACGCAAGUUUACUUGUGAAAGAAAAACCAGCUUCAAUAAUAUAUUGCCGCCUCGCCUCACCUCACCUACUUACCGGCAAAUUUGAGUCGAUCACUUCAUCUAAUGGCAUUUCUUAUUGCUUCUAUUUCGUUCCCUUGUGGAAACCAGCUUCAAUCAUGACCAGUUCUGUUCAUCUUUAGAAAAAUGAUCAAUACUGACAAAACACGCACCAUUAUAUGAGUAAUCACAGAUCUUCAUUAUUCGACGUAUCCAAGUAAUUGUCUUUUACAAAUGAUUGUUUCGUAAGAAAUUUUAGCUUUCAUCUCUGAAUUUGAAGCUAAAAUUAUUAAAUGUCAAAGAAAGAAUCUUUGGAACCCUUUCUCUUUUUUUUUCCCCCCUCGAUUCUCUCCCUCAUUUGUUCAUGAAUUUACUACCUAAAUGAAAGAGAUCAUCAAUAAUUUGGGUGUUGUCAAAGAUAACAAUUGAAAGCCGAACCAUACCAUACCGGUGACUUUGCCACUGAACCUAACUUUUGUUUGCUUGAAAAUGUUUCCUAGCAAAGAAAUUAAUAGAGAAUUUGCAAUCAAAAUGGCAAUCGUUCUUGAGCCUAAACAACCAGAUAGCGUGGUCAGAGGAGGAUUUUCAAAGUUCUUCCCGCAGUUAAGUUCAGAAUUCGUAUUCUAGACUGACAGUUGAAGGUAAAAAGGAUGUGAAAAAGAGCGGUCGGAAAAAAAAAAAACCGACCAUAUAGUAUUAAUUAUUUUCCAUCUAAUAAGUGACUUGAUGCUUACAUAAUGUGAAUGUAGAUUGGAUAUUUUUCUUGGAUCCAAUAUUAGAGCAAUAAUGAAUUAAUACAGAAAAGAAGAGCAUCCAACUUUUUUUUGGACAUAUAACAUACAUACAUGUUAUAACAUGUAACAUAUAACAUGUUUUUUGGACAUACAUACACACAUAAUUUGCUUCUCUUUUUUUUGGGGGGGCAAGAAUAAAAAGCUCCAUGUGUCUUAAAUUAAAAUUUAUAGUAUGAGCCGAUUUCAUAUCAUGCUAGUAAAGAUCCGAUCUAGGAGAAAAUGACUCCUUUGCUCAUAGAAAAUUUAUUGCAAUACAAAGACGGGAAUAUAGAAAAUGACUGUUUCAACUGGAAAUUAAUAGACGGCAACGGCCAUGGUUCAUCCAUUCGGCCGAAAUGGUGGAAUUAGCCCCUCAUGCAUGACAUUCCAACAAAGAAUCCUUCAAUUUUGUUUUCAACCAUUAUUUAUUUGUGGUUUUCUUUGGUACACAUUGCACAAUCCAACGCAAUAAAAUGAGUGGACUGAAUGCCAAUAAAUUAAUGCAACUUGAAAAAUUUUCCCCCUAGAUAAAUUCACAAUCAUAGUAAAAGAAGAAACUUAAUAAGGUUAUGUUUGGAUAGUAGUUUUCUAACAGAAAUUUUUUAUAUUUGUUCUGAACACAUUUUUCAAUCACCUUUUUACCCUCGUAUACAUUGAUUUGGUCACAACCACUUAAUUGAAUUUUAGAAUAAUUUACUUAAUUAUCUUUACUGAGUUAGUUGGAUAAGUGAUGUCAACAAACCAACACCUGUAAAUGCUCGAAUCUUGGGGACCUAAAAGGAAGCUAUCUUAUUUUGACACACAAAAAAAAGGAAGCUAUCUUAUUUUGACCCAAAAAAAAAGGAAGCUAUCUUAUGUGUAUGACAUGGAAAAAUCACGUGAAAUAAGAAUUUUGGAAUGACAAAAAGGUAAUAAAAAUGAGGAUAUUUUGAUUUAGGGAAAAAAAAUUAAAGCCCCACAUGAUAGAACUCUCAAUGGAAAACUUAUGAAUUUCCUCCAAAAUGCGAUAAAUCAACUUUGAUUGAGUAUCAUUCAAAAAUCGUAUAUGAUAAACAAGAAUCUUCAUACAUAGGAAGAAAAAAGCAAAAAAGUCCACCUAUAAAAAAAGUCAGAUUGAAAAUCAUUACGUUUUGAUAUUAAUAGAGUAAAAGAUCCCAAGUGGAAUGAUUGUAUUAGUGAAAAACCUUCUCCGACCACCUUUGAAUUGUCGAAACAAGAAACUAUCCAUGAGUUAUGAGUAUUUAUCAAAUUUGUUUCUAUCUAAUAGAACAAGAACUGUCCGAGAGUUAUCACUAUUUAUCAAAUUUGUUCCUAUCCAAACAAGUUUAUCAAAUCUGUUCCUAUCUAAGAGAAUGCUAUUGGAUCGAAUGAUAACUACGUUAUUUAGAAACAGACGGCUUUUCCUAGAUGAAACUAAAGUUGGAUUCGUGUAAUUGGAGAAAAAUUUCCUAUUCCUCAGUCCGAAGCGAUAGACAUAAAUAUGAAAAUCUCUAAAAUCAAGAAGAUGGGUCAUCUUCUAGUUUAUUCUGUGUAUACCGCUUAGUAUGUAGGAUUUUUCAAAGAAAAAGAGUCAUGGUAAGAAAAGCAACUCAAAUUCACAACAUUUUUAGUAAUAAAUACAAAUAUAGAAAUCCCUAAAAUCAAGGGAACAUGCCAUUUUUUAGUUUAUUUGUAUCACUUGACCCUCACUUUUUCCUUUUUUUGAUAAAACAAAAGUCAAUAUUAUUAAUAAAUUGGUUGAAAAUCGUCCGGCACGAUUUGUUUGACAAGGCAAUAUGUACUAAUGGCAGAAACUACACAGAACAUGUCAGAGAUAUAUCUGAUGUGAAAAAUCAUUAGAUUUAAUAGAAUUACAAAAUAUAAAAAAGUUACACUGUGAAUCAAACCUACCGAACGUCCCUUGUCGCUAAGUAAGUUGACUAUGCUUCAAGCAUAACAAGAUUUCAGCCAUAUGAUUAAAAAGUCACUUUUCCCAACCAUUCGUAUGCGUUCGACACUCUUAUCCCUCCUCUGGUAAUUAUUUAAUGAGCAAUCGCAAUUAUCUUAGAUGUGUUAGAAAAAGUCUAGGUUUGAAAAGACCUGCCUCAUGUAAAUACUGCAAGACCAAAUGAUAUAUAUCUAUGAUUUUUUUUUUUUUUUUGGAGCAAGUAGAAGUUAGUAAUUGAAAUUACUAUGAAAAAUAUACUCCUAAAUGUGAAACGAUUUAUGAGACAUAAUUAUUGUUCAGAUAACAAGUUGCUGCUAAAUAAAAAUGUUAAAAAAAACUGUAGCCAGAAUGCUGCUGCAUGCUGUGGUCAUGGUGACGACAGAGAAGCUGCUUGCUGGUUGUGUACUCAAUCUAAGAAUUAAUUGAAGGUUGAAACCCUCAAAGUUAAAACAAAUCAACACGAGCAAGAUUUUGAUUUGACCAAAAGUUUGCACUAAUUAAGUGGAGGCUUUUUGCAGUAAAAGUUGACAUGUUUCCAGAUUUAAAAAGUUCACCAAAAAAUUGCACGAGCUGUUGUGAUGAUUAGGCAGGAGUGGAGGGUCAGCAGUGGAGAUUUUAGAACAAGAAAAGUGAGAAUUAGUUCAUCAAUAAUGAAGAAGACAAACUCAUUGUGGGCAAACAAUCAAACAAGUAGCCACUCAUGUUAACGUAAGCUUAAAUAAAAGGAUCAUUAAAAAGAAGAAGUUUUUUUCGGUGUUGUCAACCAAAAUUACCUUUAGUUUUUCCGGAUAAUUUAUCUUAUGACUCCAACGAACAUGUACGCUUGAAAAAUAAGUAAAUGUUUAUACACUGACAGUUUGUGUAUACAGUAUCUCUGUCGGAUCUAUGACACAUGUACAAAAGUUAAAUUUCAAAUUCAAAUUUAGUAUAAUUAUCAUUCAUUCAAAACUGAUAAUGUAUACACCGUUAUUAAAUAAAAAAUAAAUCCUUAAAAUUUUCCAGCAUGAUGAGCAGGAAAGCUUGAAAUUUGUUUCUUCCCCAAAAAAAAUUGAGAGAAAAAUACGGACCACAGUCUAUCUGCCACCAAUUCUCCUGCAUUUAGCUGCUGUUUGAUUGCAUGCAUGUGCUUGCCACUUGCAAGUCAAUUAUAGUACUAAUUAAUCACAGGAAAAUAAUAAGAUAUGAAUUAAUAAAAAGCCUUGACUUUAGAACUAAAGUAUAAAACAGAAACCAAACAAAUUAUUCAUAUUUCAUAAUGAAUAAAAUUAUGCCUAAUGCAUGGAGUGAUUAAUGGAUAUUGAAGAAAACAAACAAAUUAUGCCUAAUGCAUGGAGUGAUUAAUGGAUAAUGAACCAUCAAAACAAUCAACAUUAUUACUUUGAAGGAAUAUGAGUACAAGAAAAGGGCCAGCAAAAAGAAUACUAUUGAUUGGGAUUGCAACUGCCAACAAGUUUCAAAUCAAGUCGCUACUAAUUCUCUGCGACAAAAACUUGAAUAGACUUGAUCUUGUAGAGGUGGCUCAAAUUUUACUACAUCAUCAAUUCUUUCUUGGGUUGGUGAGAUGGUGUGACAAAAUUUGAGUCACAUAUUCUGCAUAAACCGAGUUUACCUAAGUGUUUGCCAUUCUCUACAGGUCAAAGGUUACUAAUUAAUCUUCAUUAAUACUUAAACAUAGUUGCAUUUUAGUAACUAGGGAUAAUUCCAAAAAAGUCCCUUGAGAUUUUCUAUAAUUUCAUUUAGCACCCUUGAUAUUUUAAAAAUUGCAUCUACCUUCCUUACCCAUUUAAAAUGAUAAUAUUAGCCUUGAAAUUCUUAUGAAACUUCUUUGUCUGCUACUUUGCUAUGCUUAUACAAAGUAUAUGUUUUAUACUUUUUUAUUUUUUCCUUUUGCCUUCUUAUUUAUUACUCUUAUAUUUUGUCAGCUAAAUCACAGUACUAUCAGUCUCUAACCUUCAUCGUGAUGAAAUAUCAAUCUAGUAAUAUUUGUUUAAUAACUUUAACAAUUAUCUAAUUUUUACAACUCUUAUUUGUUUAUUUAUUUUUUUUGGUAUCAAAAUUAACAACAAAUCAACAAUAAAUAAAAAAUAAAUGACCCAAAAUCACUACUAAACUAUGAUAGCUCCACCACUCGAUUAAUCUACAGACUUAAAAAAAAACUAUGAUAACACUCUCUUUUCCAUUUUAAAAAGAAUCUAUAUCUCCAAUAAAUAAAACACUAUUUAAAGUAGCCUAUCAUAAUGUGUCUUAUUAAAUAAUAAAUGUAGCCACCAAAAAACUUGACACUCAUUUCUUUGUAAUUGUACUAAUUACUUUACAAUUGUUUAGACGAAUAAAUAAAACUUUAUUAGAUGAGGACAUUUUAGGGUAUUCACUAAAUUUUUAACCCUAUUUUUAAAGGUUUGGUUAUUAGAAGUGUCAAACUAUGGAAGGUAAGUGUAAUAUUUAAAAUCUUGAGGGAGCUUUAUGAAAUUGCAAGAAACCUCAAGGGAGGUUUCUGAAACUAUAGCUAGUAACUAUAUAGCUGCCCAAUUAGCAGAUAAUAAUCCAUCUCCCACUUAAACCUUCCCGGACUCCACCCUAACAAAAGGAAAUUAAAAACUUUAGUUCUGCAAUAAAAUUCCGUGUUCAUGUUUAUGUUGAACCUGUAUCAAGAAUCCCUGAAUUUCAUAUAUAGCCUAUGAUGUUAUCUCAAAGGACUUGCUAGCUAAAGCUAGGACAACUUGAGGUUUGUUUACCAAAUGGAAAUUCGUAUUCAAAGUCCACUUGUUUUGACUUUGUUGUAUUCAUUUAUCAAAAUGCAAGUUUAAAAAAAAAAAAAAAUUUGCAUGUACAGUUGAGUUCUCCGAUCUUUUGGCGCUGGAGAAGGGUCAACCCAACCUUUCAUGAAACUCAGAAAUGACGAGACUAAUAAAAAGUUUUCAUGGCAUGUUAUCUGCCUCCAAGAUGGUGGGGGCCAAAAUUUUUUUAAAAAAAAAAGGAAAAUUAAAAAACAAAAAAGGAAAAAGAGAAAAGGUUGGUGAUGUGAAGCAACUUCAAAAGCCUUUAUAUCAAUCCAUUUUGGUUUUAUCCAUCUCAUGAGAGAGUUGAAUACUAUUCAUUCAUGAGAGCUUUUCAAUUCUCUACUUUAUUUAUGGUGACACUUCUUGUUGAAUGCUUAUGAUUAGGACAAACUUUCCUAUUAUCUUGAGUGCUUUUUCUUUUCUUUUUUUUUUCCAUAAUUUCAACCACAAUCAUUAUGUGGAUGUGAGCUUAGAAGCAGUGCAGCACACUGUUUCUCAUGAAGUUUUGCUAAGUGAUAGAGACUCCAGUGUUGUAGAUCUUUUUCAGAAUCUUCUGGGAACUCAACCGUGACAGCUUAACCUUUUUUUUUUUUUUUUUUUUUCUGUAUUCAACACAAACUUUGUACAUGUAAUUUUGUAUUGUCAUAGAUUUUUGCAAACCUCCAAACUUAUGAUAUAUCAACAAGAAUUUACAAAGUUUUUUAACAUAUUUGACAGGAUCCUGUAACAUGUAUUUGAUCUCGUUAAUGUAUAUAUACAUUGUCAGUGAAAAAAAAAAACCAGUUCUUCUUCUGGAUACAUGAAAAAAUUUAGGCUCUGUUUGGAUCCACUAGUUUUUCAAAUGGCUCUAUUUGGAUCGUUGAGUUUUUCAAAUACUAUAAAAAUUUUUAAAAAGUACUCUAAAAAGUAGUCUUAAUUUUUUUUAAUGUUUAAAAAAUAUCCCAAAAUAUAUUCUAAAAACUCCACUACUUUUAAAUAUUCCAAAAUAUAUUCUAAAAAUAUUCCAAAAUAUACUCUAAAAACUUUGCUACAGUAAAAUUUUUUAAAAACACCCCAAAAACAGCUAAUCCAAUUUAGUGCUAAAGUAUCAUCAUUGUCCUAAAGUAACUUAAAACCUAAAGACGAUUCUUUAAUGCUUUUCCAAUUUAGUGCAAUGUCUACAUGAACAUUUUUCACCCCACUUGAGAGAAGAGGAGUUCAAAUUGUAUCCUUAUGGCACGCCAAAUUCUCUUCAUUGCCGAGUUUGAAUGCUUUUGAUGCCAAGCGUAUCUAUUAGUGGUCACUGAAUCUAAAUAUAUAUUCCAAGUUUUUUAAAAAAAUGAAGGUUAAUUAUUCCAAGUUAUGAGCUGGGUGUAAGUGGAUCUUUAUGUGUGUGAACUAAUAAUAGAACUUUCUUUCAACCAUAGAGAAUUCAAGAAAGAAAAAAAAUAAAACUGCAAUUAUCAGAUUGUACCUUACUGCUUGGAUACAUUAAUUAUUAAUUAAUAAAAAUGCAGUCAGUCGAACCAUUUAUAAUGGGGUGAGAGUACAGCUCACUCCACUUACCCUUUUUACUACCAAACAAAAGAAUACAAUUAAGAAAAAUGCUUCUUCACUCAUCUCAUCUGGCCUGCUGGCAAGAUAUGUUCUUGGCACCAAUUGGAUUUGAAUAUUAAGCCCCAGAAUUUAUCAUUAAUUUUUUUUUCAAAAAAAAAAAAAGAAAAAAAAAGAAAACUGGAAGCCCAAAGAAGACUAGCAAAAGAAGGUUAAAGAAAAAAGAGGAAAAGAUGAGGAGAAUAUUAAUUUGGAAAACCUGUUUGAACCGAAAUGGCUCAAAGCCUUCUUGUCCUGGCUUCCAAUUCUGAAUUAAAGCUUUUUAAAGUGAAAUCUGGCCUUCUUUUUACACUACUGUGAUUUGAAAGAGAGAGCGAAAGGAUAUGUGGGAACUCGAUCUGAAAGACGGACUGGAAAUAUCUUUUGCAUCAAAACUUGUCCAAUUCUCUUUGGCCUUUCUUUUCAAUAUCAGAAUAUCUUCCACUCAGCCGUUUGGUUUUAAUUUAGGUGUGGUGUGGCCCUUGCAAACCACCUUUCACUUCUUUCUGAGGGCAGCCAUUCCAAUUCCAAUUCCGCGUGUGUAUCGAUCAAAUGGAAUAGACAAAAUUAACUAGAGUCCACAGCACAGCUUGGAAAAGCCAUAUCACUUUCAUGCUCUUUCAAGUUUUGUCUCCAGGAUUCGAAUGGUUUAGUGCCUACAAUUCUACUAUUUAUUAUGCUCCCUCCCACACAACCCUCUUCUCUAAUUGUGUGUGUGUGUGUGUGUGUGUGGUACAAAUACAAUGAAACCCUUCCCUAAUAGUAGUCUCACUUUCUUUGUCCAUCCAAUUUAGAUUCUCCGGACAAAAUCCACUCCAUCUCUGCCCCUCUCCCACAAGCACUAUCUAUAGCUUCCUCUUUUUCUUUUCUUUUUUUUAAAAAAAAUUAAUAAAAAAGAAAAAUAUUAUUAUUAUUAGUUAGAUUGUUAGAAAUCGUCCAACGCGAAUUAUUCUGCAGCAGCUAAAAUGGAACUAUUGUUACAUUCUUUUUCUUUCGGGCAUUGCUUAAUUUGAUCGCAGCAGCAUUGGCCUAUAUGUGGCACGGUUCUGAAAAGUAAGAUAUACAAUACAAGUCAUAAUUUGGUAAUGAUAGGAGCUUCCAUCCAUUAAUUAGAGAAAAAGUUGUCUUGGUGGUCUAACAAGGGGCUCUCUUGACAACGAAAUUGUGGAGCCUAAUGGAUAGUUAGGGUGUUUUAUGUGCACUGACAGUGUAUAUAUACUAUUAUUACUGUUAGAUUCAUGACACAUGUGUAAAAGUUAGAUUUCAAAUUCAAAUUUAGUAUAAUUGUCAUUCAUCCGAAUUCAAAACUAACCGUGUAUACAUUAUUAGUACAUGAGUUCCUUAACUUUGGUCCCGUUAAACAUCAUCAUAUUCAUUUAGGAAGGAAAAAGGAAAAACACAAAAAACCAUAUAAUGAUCUUGUCGUAACACAAUACUACUACCAUAGUUGAAUAAUAAUCUACUUGUUCCCUUUUUGAGAUUGAAGUACCAAAACAAUGCAACACUUGAGCUGAGGAAGUCUCUCCCAAAAUCAAAAUAAUGUAGUACUACUAGAUUUCGUUACCUACUCUAUUUUGUUACCUACUUGUCUGGCCAAACCAUAAGUUCAUCAGCAGUAAUGGUCCCUACAGCACUAGCAAGAUUUAAUACACUAGCAUCACUAUUUGGGACUGUUCAGCAGUUGAAAACUCACCACUCAAUGCUCAGCCCACCACCAUUUGUCUGGUCAGAAUCAAAUAGUAAAUGUACACUGACGCUGUAUUUAUACUCAUCACUCAAACCUAAAUAUGGCUCAUCCGAAAUUUGGAACAUGACACUGGCGUGGGUGCACUAUUCUUGCACAGGCAGAAACAUAUGCAAAUCAAAUGUGCCCAGAUCAGAAUGUGCAGAGGUGACCAUCACCUUAAAUUGGAGGGUCCCAAGUUCCACCUCCCAAUGUCUUCCAAUUAAUCCCUUUACCAGCUUUGCUUUCUUUUCAUCCCAUUUUUUCUGUUCAGCAAUUUUUUUUUUAUUUUAAAAAAGCCCUUUUUUUGUUUUUCUGUUACUCGAUUAACGUUGUCUCAGGCAAUUCCGAUGUUAUUUUUAAGAGUUUUUAUAUAUAAAAAAAUAUAUUAUAAUGAUUUAAUAUUACAAAAUAAAAGAGAUACUAAUUGAAAAUUAUGUCCACGAAAUAAGUAAAAAAACUUUUCUAGGAAGAGCUACACUCCAAAUUCCAUUUGCUUUUUAGGACACAAAAAUUGGACAAAGAAACGCAAUCACUCUACCACAUUUGCUGCUGCUGGGUGCUAACCAUUGCAUGGAUGAAUGGUAAAACUAGUCAAAAAGGAAAACAAAACUAAAACUAAAUUCUCGAGAAUGAAUAAAUUGAAAAACAGAAGAGUCAAAAUUUGGAUUUGGAUUAAACGCACUCACGAAAAACAGAAAUUCAAAAUCUGAAAAAGAAAAAUUUUCAAAAUCUGACGGCCCACGGUCACAUCAACCACCAUGAUCCUCCGAAGCACCGCCAUCCACUUACCUUUGUCCAUUGAAAAAUCAGAACAAAAAAUUAUUUUAUUAUGUUUUGCUAAAAAAAUUUAGAUAUUCCAUACAACUCAAACUGUCAAACGUCAAAAAAUAUCGAAGGUUCUCCCUUUUUUUUUUUUUUUAGGGCUGUCAAAUUAAUGAACAAGAUACAAAAUCAAAAUGAAAAGUUAUAUCCUCAAUUUCCAGGUAUUUUAAGUAAGUAUACAGAGAAUUACAGCGAGGGCAAAACCGUACUUUGGAUAUAUCAACACAUCAAUAUACGUUGACCUGGUCAAAUGUCAACCAUCAAAUACAUCAGCGGUUGUGAUGAAACCGCCCAAAAUCAGCAAGCUUUCUCGAUCUAUUUUUGCAAAACGACGCCGCGUUUGUCAGAGGAGGCUUCACCGGAACAACUCUAAUGUCGCCUGGAACCACCACUUCAGGCGGCAAACCCCCCUUCUGGUUCCAAUGCCGGCUCGGGCUGGCCCGAACCAAUGGACUCAAGCAAAACGUCAUCCCCGAAAGAUUCCUAUUGUGCUGCCCUGGUCUCCCUCCCCCGCCGCAUCGCUUCCCCUGAGCCACUGACGCCGGAGCCCUCCUCGGCGUCUGUUUCCACGCCUGCGAAGACUCGGAAGAGUAUCCGCUCGAUCCAUUAUUACAAUGCUCGUCCUCCUCGUCGGAGUACCUAGCCGGCGACAUUCCACGGUCAGGAUGCCGGCAAACUCUCCGUUGACGUCCUCCGAUCGUCGACUCAUCAAGCGAGAACGUCCGGUUCUGUUUUUUCAGUCGACGGGGGAGAAUUGCGGAGAACCACGACGUCGAAGAAGACGCUGCAGGCCCAGUACAAGCAUCCUGACCCGAACCCGAAGAGGCAUGAUCCGUAUCCACUUUCUCGGAUUUCGAUCUAAAAAGAUUCGCAAACAAAGAAAACCGGGUUCCGCUCUUCUUCUUACUGCAAUAACCGGCGGCUACUAACGUCCCAUUGGGCCCCACUUGAGGAGUACUAUAAAACCGAUGAUCGGACAAGCCAUGACGAUGAUGAUUCUGACCGCAAGGAUCAAUCCACGUCUCCGCACUCGUAUCAGAUUUCCGGCGAGAAAUAUACGGGGAAACGGAACGAGGAAAAAUUAAGGGAGGCGGGUUAGCUUCCGAUUUUCGGCGAUCUUCUUCGGCAGCGGCUGCCGCCUGUUGAGCCCGCUCUUGUGCUGCAAUGAGAACAAAGAGGCGCUCCCGGAGACAAGAAGCGCAGACGCCGAAAGCACUGCUUAAGUCGGUGACGUGCUUUUUGCACUUCAUUUGAGUCGCCGCGCGACGGGCAUAAGCUUGUCCGGCCGGCCACUUCAAGAUUUCUCGGAUUAAGUAAGAAUUUUGGUCCUUCAAGAUUCCUCCCUGCUCUAGUUCUUGAAAAAGCUGCUCAAGUUACUUUUGGGAGAGAAAGACGAGUGCAGAGGUAGCUAGCUGGAGGGCAAUGGAGAGAGCGGUUGUAAGUCUUUUUUUUUAUGUAACAAAGAGGAGGAUUCAUCGAAGGGGCUGUGUCGAUUUCUGAUUACAAAUAAUUAAUGGGAUGUUUUCGGGUUUGGUGAAGAAUUGUUUUUUCUGUGUCUGAUUUUGAAUAUUUUAGUGAUUAAUUAACGGUAUAAGGAAGAAGGAAAACUAAAAAAAAAUGAAAGACGAGGAAGAUGAUGGCAACAUGGAAACUGAGAGGGAGAUGGAGAUGGAAAUGGAAUGACUCAGACUGACUGACUGACUGACUGGCACGGGUUUUGAUUGUUGAAUUGCAUCACACAAAAUGGAUUUAAGAAGAGAGGAGGAGGAGGAGGAGGAGGAGGAGCUGAGGGAGAGGGGAAGGAAGGAGUCAUUUAAUUCGGGCUUUUUGACGAGGGCGGAAAGGGCUAAAGUGACAGCUUGGGUAGAUUCAAUUGGUUAUUACCUUAAAAGACUAUUGAGGCAUUUUGGUGAAUUUUGAGAUUUAAAAUAAUCGGGGUUAACGUGUGUGGAUGAAGAUUUUGUGCUGAAGCAAAUAUUCUCUGUGUCUUUAGUUGGAAAUUAAUUGACUAAAUUCCUAAGAAGUAGUUAAACCUACUCAAAAUUUUAACUGUUGGUGUUUUCAUUAAUUUUGGAUGGUGAUGAGAGAUUUAAAUUUUUUCUCUUUCUAUACAUAUAUACAUAUAUAUAUUUAUAUCUUGCUUCUUGUAUAUAGAACGGCCAAAAAAAAAAUUUAUGCAUGCUUGCGCGGGAAUUUGUCGCGUAUUACUCGAUAAAUUUUAGACACUUUUUGUCUAACGUAAAUCAAAUAUACGUGAAAUUCAUGCACGCUUUGAAGGAAAAUUGUCGUGUAUUACUCGAUGAGAUUUUGAAAUACCUAAUUGCAUCACAAGCAUUUAAAAUGUAUUUCGCGACAUUCAUGGAUUUUUUUUUUAAAAAAAUUUAUAUAAUUAUCCUAUGGCAUUUUAAGAUAUCUUUUUGCAUGAGAAAAGCUCAGAUAAACAUGCAAUUUCUUGACGAUCCUGUGAAGAUACUACAUAUUACUCGAUGAGAUUUUAACAUGUCUAAUUGAAGAAAUAAUUCGAAUGUUCAAGAAAUUCAUGCAUGCUUGUGUGAAAAUGACGACAUUGACAAUGAUCUAUAAUUAAGUGAAGCAAUUUUGGGUUUUUUGCUUGUCUAAGUGGUCAUGUUCCCCACGGCUUAAUCGUUGCUUGGUUUGGGUGGUUUGCUGGUGCAAGCGGGCAAAGUAAUCGUGUGGGUAAUGUAACAUGAAUGAUUUGUUUCAUAUUGUUUAGCACUGGUCAAACUUUUGAGAGAUUAUACUCUACUUUUUACUUUAUGGCUUUUGUUUGUCUGUCGAUCAAGUUUAAAUUCCAAUAGCGCCUACUCCUAACGGCCAGCAACCCGGAGGAUUUGUUCCCUAAUUCUGGCUAUCGUAUUAUACAAGUGUUUUGCAUCGCAUUAGAGAAUGGUUGAGUUGAGUGAUAAAAUAAGAAUAAUUAAAAACACGAAGAUUUGAAUUCAAAACCUCUUUCUUAUUAAAAGAAAAAGCAUCGCAUCGUACGGACUGUGGUGUGCAAAUCCCGGAUUAGACUUUCAUUGUAUUAUUUCAGAUUUUGUAGUUGCGAUAUGUUUUCAACAAAUUAACAUGUAGCUUUUUUAUUGUACCUGUCAUAUAUAUAUGUAUUUAUUUAUUUAUUUCCUCGAUUAUGAUUGCUUCUUUACCUGAUUUAGACAAAGACAUUUCCUUUUUUUUUUUUUUUUGUUUGGGCCAAAAAGAUUUUCUGUAGUUAGAGGACUUGGCGUACGUUAGCUGUUUGUAGGCAUAUGCCCCCCAAAAUAAAAUUUCUGUCUGUAGAACAACACGCAUUGGAUAUCACAACAAUGGCCAAUGUAAGGGGAAAAAGAAAAGAAAAAUAAAAAGUUGCAACUAUCUCCUAUGUUGUGGUUGUAGCCUUAUAUUAAUCAUUAAAAUUUAAACCAAUUAAUAUACUUGGGUAUACAAAAAUGAUGUGUAUUUUUUGUUCUACAUUUUAACUCAUCAAAGUAUGUCCUAGUUCCUUAAUUAAUCUAAGAAUUUAGAUGGUCACGUAAAGAAUGGUUUGCAGGUGUUUUUCGGAUCAACCAUAAAUUGAGUGUGUUUCGGCGUAUUAUUUGAAAUCUCAUUUAGAAUAAUUAAUAUAAUAUUUUUUAUGAUGCAAUAUAUAUGAAAUGAAAAGAUAAUUAAGAAUACAAAAAAAAAAGUGAUUGAAAGAUGUGUUUAUUAUAUCAAUAUAAUAAUAUUUAGAAAAAUUUGACUAUCUAAACACCCGCAUUAUAAAAUUCUCCUAUUAAAUUGCUAACUUUGAGCGAUAUAUAUUUCAAUCCACUCACAACAACUAGCACGUCUAAAAUCCUUUUUGCUCUUAUUGUGAUGUAGUUGGAUGCAUCCGAUCAUGGGGGAAAAAAAAGGCGACCCAAAGGUUUUAUUUUCCGUUUUAUGUGUUUUUAUGCUCCUAGCUCUUGUUAGCAUCACAUAUUUGUGUGCAUGAUAUGUUAUAAUCAUAAAUUUGUUUGAACUUAUUAAGAAGUAUUAAUUUUUGUGAGUACAAGUUACAAUACACGCACAUACAUACAUACAUGUGUGUGUGUGUAAAAAUUGAGAUGACAAUUUUACUCUGUCAUUUUAAAAUGUGCCACAACAUAGAAAAUCUGAAAAUGAAUGUAAGUAAUUCUUUUUAAGGGCAAAAUGCCCCAUUGACUUUCAAACUAUUACGAAAUUUAAUUUUUGAUGCUCAAACUAUUAACUAAUAAGUUUUAACUUUUCAACUAAUUAAAAUAUAUAAUUCUAACCCUUCCAUCAACUUGAGUCGUUAUGUUUAACAAGACAAAGGAUUCAUAAGAUGCUAAUGGCCCUCAAACUAUUGCAAAGUUUCACUUUUGACCCUCCAAUUAUUAACUGAUAAGUUCUAACCCUCCAACUAGUUAAAUGUAUAAUUUUACCCUUUCUGUCAACUUGAAUAGUUAUAUCGAACAGAAACAUCUAUUGAUAAAGAAAUUGAAAUGUGCCCAACUGAGUGUUUGACAAAUCAAAAAGACUUAGAUAUAGUGAUGUAAAGUUUGGAGGAAUCUUACAAAAGAAUUGAUUAUUUGAGAUAUUUAGAAAGUUCAAACUUGAAAAGGAAUUAAUACUUGUUGGAAUUUCCCAGAAAAUCAAUUGUAUGCCAAAUUUAUGUCAUUAAGAAAAGCACUUGAAUCCAAUGAAUUUGGAACAACACAAAAAAUAAGUUAAAUUCCAAAAUGAAGACAACUCAAUCAAUUCAACUUGCCUAUGCUUGCUGAAAUUUCUCUAUUUGGGGUUUUGGAUUUUAGGUUUUCAAUUGAUUUUGGUCAAAUUUCACAAUCGGAGAUUUGGUAAAUUAGUUUAUGAGUCAAAUAGGGGUAAAACAAUUUUAACCUAGCACAUAUCCUGUGAAGAUGAAAACACUCCUCAGUUAUGCCCUUACAGCGUAUGUGGGUGAUGUUUCUGCUCGACAUAACGAUUCAAAUUGACGGAAGAAUUAGAAUUAUACAUUUUAAUUAGUUGAAGGGGUAAAAUUUACCAGUUAAUAGUUGAAGGGUCAAAAGUUGAACUUUACAAUAGUUUCAGAGCCACUUCUACGCAUGUCAUGCCAUUUGUGUUAAAUAUAACGGUUUAAGUUAACAGAAGGGCUAGAAUUAUUUGUUUUAAUUAAUUGAAAGGCUAAAAUUUAUCAAUUAAUAGCUAGAGAGCCAAAAGUUAAAUUUUGUGGUAGUUUGAGGGCCACUAAGACAUUUUGCCUUUUUUUAAUGCCAUACAUUCAUAUUUUAUAUGAGCCCAAUGAGUUCUUCCCAAAUACCUCGGUAACUCAGUCGAGGCUUAGGCAACGAAGAGAAGAUGUUACUAAUUGAGAUGUUUAGCAACAAGGAGAGGAGCGCUUGAAAACUUGGCAAUUUAAAAAAAAAAAGUGCAAAUGUCAAAAUUUGUCACUAAAUUAUUUACUAUUCCUUUUUAAGUCACUAAAUAUUUUUUUAGCCAAAAUUGUCAUUAAACUAAUUAGUACAUGCAUUUUGUAAUGAAAAACUGUAUGUUUUCAUUAGUUGAGUGACUGAAAGUGAAAGUUUUAUUAGUUGAGUGAUCAAAAAUAUUUUUUGUUAUGAAUUAAAUGACUAUUUUGAUGAAACAAAAAGGUUAAUAAUCAAAAUAUGAAAAUUUAAAUAAUUUAGUGAAUAUUUUUGUCAUUUACUCUUUUAAAUUGAUAUUGUCUUAUUACUCUGGUAGAUGUGUUUUUUUUUUCAAAAAAAUAGUAUAAAAUGCAUAAGAGGCACUGAAAGUUUCACUUACAGGAGCAAUUACAAGAUGAUUGCUUAAUUAGUAUCUAAACAUAUCUAUUACAAGAUGACAUGGCGGAAAUCAAAACCAAUUCUUUCACUAUUACUUAAUUAGUAUCUAAACAUAUCUAUUUUGCAUAUUUGUACCCUAACCAAGUAUCUAAACAUUGAUUCGAGCCUAUAGAAUAAUGUCAAAUAGAAAAAGGUUUUGUUUAAUUAGUGCCUAUUGAAAAUCCUUGACAAAAUUUAGAUUUAAAUGGAGAUAAAUCGUAUGGAACAAACAAAGAACUUUUACAUGAAACAAAUCAAUUUUUACCUUUCACUUAUCCAGACACUCCUUGAUAUUUGUCCACCUUACUAGGCAAAUUUGACGAGCUUACAUAUUUGGCAUCUCCGAGAGAUUGAUCCAAGCACAAUGAUUGAGCUCAAGAUCAUUGACGAUUAAUCCAGAAUAAGUAUAGUUAAAGCAAAAUGAAGGAAAAAGUACACACUUUUCCUCAUGAAUUGGACGGAAUUAUUUUCUUUUAAGCGCAUUGGAUGAAAUUAUAAGUUCAAAUUAAUGCACAGUUACUUCAUAAAUACCCGUCCGUGUUUGGAUACCAAAUUAUUCCAAAUAAUAUUUCGCUUGCAUCACAAACACAUAUACUACCUUUUUAUAUUCCCAAUCACCUUUUUAUCUCACAUAUAUCGUAUCACAAAAAGUGUUACAGUAAUUAUUCCAAAUAAUACACUAUCCAAACAAAUUGUUUUUACAACAUUUUUUUUUUCAACUUUCCUAUCUUUCUCCGAAACUUAAUCAUGACAAAAAUUUCUAAGCCACAGAAUUUUAUGUAAGCAUGAGUUGAACUUUGUAACUGCAUUCUAUACAGGACUCGUUCCUUUCAUCAGCAGCAGCUUAGUUUACCUGGCAUGUGUGAGACUAGCUUUUAGAGAAUAAUUCAAUAGCCAAGUCAAAGAUGGAUGUUUGUGUACUCCAGUACUUUUGGAAAUGGAUUUGUACAAACCAGCCUUACUUAUCAUACAUUGAAUUUCAAGCUUUCCCAAAUUUUUGGUUUUUCCCUUUCUAACUUUUCUAGACUCUUGAGUUUCCCGUGAUUUAUUAUUUGACUUUUCUCUGGUUUAGGAAAAAAAAAUUAAUGAAACAUAAUAAUGACUUCCAAAGGAAUUUUCAUUUCUAUUCAGGACAAAGAUAAAAACCACUUUAAUUUUCUUAGAUCAAGGACCUGCCCAAAAAAGAAAAGAGUGUGAUAUUCUUACACGACAUAUUCAAAAGCGAUCACUUCUUCUUCUAUUUUGCCUAAAAGCGUGAUUAAUAUUUCAUAUUGAUGAAUCAUUUUCAUCAACAGGUUCAGAAUUUUCUACUAAUUGGCUGUUAGUGAUCAUAAUUAAACAAGAGGACUUUUUUAAGUGCAACUGACAUGAGAUGAUAGAAAUCAGAUUUUGGCUUUCGUAUUUUGUUGGGUAGUCAGGGUCAAUUUUAAUUGUUAAGUCUAUUCUUUCACGAUGAGCUAUUGACUUUACAUUUCUCAUUCAAAUUUAGUGGACAGAGCAAUCAAAUAAAUGUUAGAAAUUGCGAAAGAAUAGUCAAUGUGUCCCCACAAUUGUUAUUCUUGCAAUCCUAAAAGUUAAUUAACUCUAAACUGGACCACAAUUUUUAGGCAUUGAAAUCUUACGACCCACUAAAAGAAAUUACCUUGCAUGUUCCUAUGUUCACUUCGAAUUAUGUCAUCAAGAACUUAACACAGAUUAGUCACUGUUUGGUCAUAAACACAUUCACAGACAGUAAACCAAUUGUUGCAAUUGGGUGCUUGGUUGGUUAUAAGUAUGUGGUCUAAUUUUUUGAUGACUUACACGAGUAUCACUCUUUCAAUAUUUAUAUAAAGAAUUUUCGAGGUUUUGAAGAGAGUAUAAUUAACCUUUAUCUAUGUCCAAAACACACAAAAAAAAGUCUUUUAUAUAUCUCUAUCUUUUUUAAAAUCUUUUGUUGGAGCAAAGUGCGUAUUAAUUUGACUGAGGGAGACAAAAUCUAAUUGGGUGGAAGAUUUUGGGUGUCAAAUGUAAUAAACUAAAAUUUGUUUGUGCUUAUGGUAUGCACUUUUUUUUUGUUAUAUUCUUUUAAAUACAUAAUUGGAGCAUGUUCAAAUCGAAGCACAUUCUUUUUUUGGCACAAUUAAUUGACAAAAUGUUGAAGUUUAUUUAAGGGACAACAAUAAAAAGGCAUGCUCUAUUUUAGUCAAAUUAUACUUUUCUUAAAUUAUAUACUUACAAGAUUGAUCAUGACAUAUAAAAUGAGACGGAGGGAGUAUUUAUUAAAAAAGUUUCAAGUUUCCCAGUGGUAAUUAAAGCUAGAGUCAAGCCUGUAUUUACCUUCAAAACCAAUCGGUUUACUGUGCUAUGCUAUCUCUUCGGUUAAUAAAUUUGAUAAUACCGUUGCAUCACUUAAAAGAUCCUAAAGUAAAUUCGCCUCAUGAAGUGGUACUUGGCCGUAAUUUUUCUUAAUUAAUGUCUAAUAAUUUGAUGUGAACAUUCCUAAUGACAAAGAUUAACAAAACUAGCAGAUGAACAUCCCGAUACCAUCGAGCUUAUAACCCUCCAGACAUUAAUUAUCAAUCUCGAAAACAUGUUUCAAUGCAUAAACUAGAUUCAAGAUUAAAAGUUGUGCACUUGACUCAUACUCGAUUGUUGUGAAUUUGGUUUUUAUUUCUUUUGUUUGGUCUCAUUUAUGUUCUAGGUUAUUGAUAUUCAUCUCAUAGCUAUGUUCCAUAUAUAAAUGGCAUAAGCUCUAUCUUCUUCUUUUUUUAAACAAAAAAGUCAAAAACCAGAGUAAUAAAUUCAUUGCUGGAAAAAGGUUACUUUCAUCAUUCACAGCUUUAUCCUAGAAGCAUUGCAGAUUUGCGUGGUUGGCAUAUCCCAGAAAGCUGCGUAUUGCAUAUUUUGCAACUUUGCAUUACGUUUUCUUUAAUUAACAUUACUCGUUUUAAACGGGAAAUGGAUAGAAACAAGAAACAUUAAUAGAUUUUAGAAUACAAGAUAUACAGACAAAUAGAAGCAUCGAAAAGCAGCCUAGGCGAUAGUCAUCAAAAGGGGCGACACAAUUAUCUUAACACUGUGAGAUGUGACGACAACUUUGAGGUUUUCAGGAUGUGGGUACUUGGAGGUUUUCUAUCCUUUCAUUUUCUCACUCAAGCUAAACGUGUACUUUUCAGUAUGAUUAUGUAUAUUGGCUUCCUGUUUGUUGCAGAAAAAUGAGUUUGCAGUUAUUGGUGAACAAAUUGCUGUCUUUUCUUGACCUUUUCUACUUGGAACUGCCCUCUUAAUUUGAUGGCAUCCAUUCAUUUUAAGGGCAUGCAACUAGGUUUUUCUUCGCAUCACCCCAAAAGAAAUAAGGGUUUUUCUCAUGUGAGAUUGUCAAGGAUUUGGACCAAAUAAAUUACUACUUCUUGGCAUAUGUGUGACUUGUUGAAAGGCUCGAACCCUAUGGAGUAUUGCUUUCUUUUGACAAUUUGUUUAGAGCCCUAUUCUUGAGGGAAUGAAGGGAUGGCAGGCAAUCUAGGGAAUUACAGACUUGAGGUCUUCCAUCCUUUUUUUUUUCCCUGGAAAAAAUUAUCUUGUUUGGUUAAACUUUUCGAGUGGUGAACUGAUUUUUCAACUAUAAACAAGAAUAUAAUAAAGGUGUAAAAAUCUGUGUGAUCAGAUGAUUCAGAGCUGAAACUUCCACCCGAAAAUCUUUCAAACGUUGCUUCAAUAUGCAAGUCAUACGAGCAAGAAAUCGACCUUCACACCACAAGCCAAAAAUGCGUUCUAUUUUAUGUUAUUUUAUUUCUUUAGGCAGGCAUAUUCUAGUACAACUCUGAAAACAUCGCGUCAGUUCAUAAUUAGAAAUCAGCAACGUACGCGAUGGACAAAUGAACACGUAUUACACACUGGAUUCCUGCCUUUUAUUCAGUCAAAGGAAGGAAAACCGAUCGUAGUAUCAAGCUGCUAUCAAGUAGUCUUAAUCAAGAUCCUUCUUGGUAAUGAGCUUCCAUGACGGCAGCUGCAGCCUGCAGGAUGAAUAGGAGUAGGGAUUUUUGGAGUCAACGUGGGUGGUUUACAACUUUAUACGGGAAGAAAAGACUGCUAAAUGCUAAUCGUAAUCUAUGUCUCUGGACUUUUUGCUUGCUUGACACUUCAGUUUAUUAGCUUACGCUAAACUAUGAAUUGGUCAACAAGGAGUGCUGUUGCGGAGUGAAAGUGGAUAUUUUUCAGUAUGUUCACAUUGCUAUCCGUUGUAAGUUCAGUUGCCAACUUCCAAUUAAUUUCCAGCUUUGGAAAAAUCUGCCCCAAGGACAAUAAAAUAGGAGGGCGCUUGUUAACGUGCUUAAAUUCUACGUAAUCUGCCAUGUAUAUGCAUAUAUUAAUAAUUAAUAUCCCUUUUUACAUUUAUAUAUAUUUUUUAAAAUUAAUUCUAUCUUUCUAAAAAUCUAACACUUGAAAUACAUCUUAACGAGUGUUCAAUGAGCACCUGUUAAAUAGCUAGAUUCUUUAAAAUAUGUUAUAGUUCUGCAAAACAAGAUUGUUCUUACAUCCUUGAGCCAAAUAUUUGCUUAACUAUCAGUAGAUUGGGAUUUUGGGAAGAAAGGAAAAGAAGAAAAAAAAAUGGCAAAUAUUUCUCUCAUAUGAUUGACAGUUUAGCAAAUGAACUGGGAAUUUGGAUGGACAUUUGCAUCUUCAUUCAAACAUUAGUCACGAGACUUGGUGUCAGUCUUCUCUUCUCACUUCCUCCGGUCAGUGUAUGGUAGAAAAAUGCUUCAAUAUUACGAGAAAAGAAAAAGAAAACGACCUCAACAUUCAAUGCUCUUGCAUAUUUCUCUCAGUUAAGCACUGGACAAUCGAAAACCUCCUGAUAUACACUUCUAAUUAGGACCUCAUUUUCGAUCAAUAUAACUUUGUCUAACUCCCAUCCUCCUCCAACUCCAUGUGGGCCAAAAUUAAUGAGCUAUUUAUUUCUUUUCUUCUUCCUUAAAGCGACAUCCUGCCUAGCAAUGCCUCACAGGCUAUACAUACAAUCCUUAUCAUUUACCAAGACGAGUUUUUGUAACAGGAAAGAACCCAAUGUAAACACUGGGAAUUGAAGCAUAUGACCUAUAAUCCAGUUUGUAAAAUCAGCAUCAACAGUUCAAUCUUCUGUAUUAAAGCAUAGCAAUACAUUGUCAGAUAUGAAUCUUUGGCAUCUAACCAUUAUUGAUGUUUUAUGGGAAGUAAACAUCAUAUAUAUGUUCUUGUCCCUGAAACAAGGGGAGACAUAUACCAUCACAUUACCAUUAGAAGGAUUUAUAGGCAAACAAAGAAAAAGUCCAGGGCCAUACACCAUCCAUUGGUGGUAAGCUAUAUAUCGUCGUACCAAUAAGUAAUGUCGGGAAGGCCAUUACUCAUUCCAACGAAAUAAAUUGGUGUGUUGUUUGAAUGGUGGCACCUCGGUAGCAGUAGGUGAGAUGUUACCUAACUUGUGAAUGAGCAAAUUGAUAACUGCUCAUACGCUAUAAAUUUGCCCACAUUAAUUAGAUUGGGAAUUUGCAAUUUGUACUCGAUCAAUUGUUAAUGAACACAAGAAAACAUAAGGUGUCAUUACGUGUUUACUGAACUGCAAAACUUUGACUAUCUCCUACCCCUUUGUGUCCCGAAUAUUGCCAGUAUAAUUGGGAUACAGAUACAAUAGUUUCAAUUGCAGCUACCUUUAGGAGGAUAUGUAAGCCCUGGUCAUUAAAAUAAAGUAUACAAGUCAUGGCCAUUGGCCAAUAAUAUCAUGCACAAAAAGAUGGAAACAUGCACGGAUGUUUGUGGGGUUAUAAUUAUUUUAUCUCAUUUUCAAAAUAAUUUUUGGAGAUUCACAGUGUAAUUUUUAUCAUCUAUUUUUUAGAUAUGUAGUAUUUUUCAGAUCCGUUCUUUGAUAUUUAUAAUGUUUGAUGAUAUGACUUUUGCCAUCAAUGCAAAUUUUAAUAAAAUUAUGAUGUUUUACUUUAAAAAAAAAAAAAAAGUCAUGUCGAUUAGCCAACAAUAUCAUGCUCAAAAAGAUGGACGCAAGAGUCUAAUUUAUUUUUUGCAAAGGGCGUUUGAGCAUGCAUUUAAGACUUCCUAUGCAAUUAAUUUCUGUGUCUACAACACAGACUACCGCAGACCUCCACUGCAACACAGACACACACACACAAGCACUCACUCUUCCAUAAUGUCCUGCUUCCUCAGUAAGUGUUGGGACACAAAAUACCAAAUUCCAAAGGGCCCUUUCCACGAGAGUGAUAGGAAGAACUAAAAUAAGCACUUAUAUACAGCACCAAUUUGGUGUUUAUAGAUGUGGUUUGGUAUAGCCGUAUAGCACUAGCUUGCAUGAUAUGCAUCAAUUGUCUUGCUGUUACAUUUAUUCUUAUACUAAUUUCAGUCACCAUCAGCUCCAUCACUACCAUUUUCCAUGGUAGUAAUUGAUUUAUCUAUUUAUGGUAGAAUUUAUGAGGGAUAAUUCCAGAUUGGAACCCAAAUCAAAUUCUCGGUGCCACUUAACCAGUGACAACUCGAUGCCGCUCGUUCAUCGAAUGCCAAGUGUUCAAUUAAUUUAAAUUAAAAUUAAAUAUCAAGUGAUAAUUUAAAUUAACUGGACACUUAGCAUAAUUUUAGGAAUCGCACUAAGUUGCCACUAUCUUAGUAGCAAGACUAUCUCAAUUCAGUCAAUUGUUUGGAACCUAGGGCUCGGUCGACUUUCUCUCUUGUUGCAGCCGUGAUUCACGGAAGACGGAAGAAAAUAGUUUAUAACAAAAUAAUUUCCAAGCAUAAGAGAUGCAAUGUAUGGUUGGUUUAAAUGGUGAUUAAUGACAUUUAUAUUUAUAUAUUUCCGGUAGAUGGGUAUAGGACCUUCCAAUCACUACGGUUCUCUAUAGUUGGAUGUCUAUUCUAUUGUAUUGAUAAUUUGAGUCAUUGUAUUGCUCUCUUACUUGAACAAGCUUUCAUUGACUUGAGAUUUGGAUUUAUCAAAAAAUUAAUUAUCUUUCUAAGACAAAAUCACCACGUUUUAUGAUAUUCAAGAAGGGUAGAGCUGCUUCUACCAAGCAAUUGAAUGUCAAAUUAUAAUCAAGCUUAUUUAAUAACUAAUCCUAAACAAACCCUCAAUGAAUGGAGCUUGAAUAGCUAGGUUCAAAUAUUACCCACAUUGUUUCGAUUAUAUUCUGGAUUAUCCAAAAAGGGUUUUGAUCAAAUGUGCUUCUAGACCGUAAACUUUUCAUGGAAAUGUUUUUUUUUUUUUUAAGAAAUGAAAAAGGACCUUUUUUCUUUGUUACGAAUUUCACAAUAAUAGGAUACUAGUAUUUAUCCAAAACUUUCACUUUAUUGAUUUUUUUUUCUAUUUUUUGCAUAUGAAUGAGUUCUAAUUAUUAGAAAUAUGCAAAUUUUUUAGGUGGACAAGACUAAUAAAAUGUUGGCUCACUAAACAGCUUAAACUAAAAUGGAAGCUGAGUUAGUAAUCUGUCAUUCUCCAAUGCGGACAAAUUGGAUAAAGUUAAGGUUAGAUUGAAUUAAUUAGUAAGCAAAGAUGGAAGAAUCUUCUGGCUGUCUUUCUUAAGCUAAGACAACGAAAGAUGGAAAGAGUAGGACCAACCUAAAAAUUUGAUAUGAAAUAUAUACAACGUUUUAUGAACUAUGGUAGAAGCUUCUUUUGGUUUAGACUAAUGAAAAGAUUAGUCAUUAAUUUCUUUUCUGUUUUUGUAUGAGGAAAAAGAUAUGAUCAAGGAAAAUGCAAUCCUAGUAUUUUCAACUAUUGAAGAGAACUCAGGGCUAGUUUUUUACUUCACAAUUUAGACCCAUUUCUUAAGGCUUGUUAGAUCUUUAAAUUGUCUUAUGACGAAAAGUGAUUUUUUUUCAAUAAAAAGUCUAAAUUGGCAAUUUAUUUGAAUAAUUGCCAAAAGAUUGUGAUUGUAGUCGUAAAAGCAUUUUGUGCAAAGCAUAAGGCCUUGUCUUGCUUAUUCACCCGGAAUAAAUUCAUAUAGUUAUCAAGCGUAGGGAAGGAAUGAAAUAUUCCUUCGGUUUAUGAUAAAUAAAAACGAGAAAAUUUUGGUCAAAUCCGAAUUUUCUUGCUUAACCUUAAGUUAAUUCAGGGUGCGUUUGAUAAAAUUGAAAUUUGAAAUAUAAAUUCAUUAAAUUAUUGAAUUGUCAAAUACUAAAUUUGAUACAUUUAAUUGUACAUCACAUUAAGGACAAGUGAAUAAUUUGAGAACAAAUUUUGUCUAAAAAAUUCAGUAUGACUUAAUUAAUUCAAAUGUUUAAUUUUUAGCUAUCAAACGCAAUUGAACAUAUUAAAAUCUGAAUCCAUUAACUUUGAGUGUUGAAUGAGAUUAUCAAACAAGACUUGACUUUGAUAUAAGGACAAAAAAAGUCCAAUCCCUCGUCUAGUUUGAUUACAUUUAAGUUUAUUGAAAAUAAUAUUUUACGAUUAAUAAUUCAUUUAUUUUCAAACCGACGCAUUCACCAUCUAUCAUUUGAUUGAUCUAAAGGCCCACAGAAGGGCAGGCCUAACGUUUGUUAGCAUCCCAACUGGGCCUGGGCCUGGGCCUGGAAACUCUGUUUGGAUUGUAAAUUAUUUGAGAUAUUUUUACUGUAGCACUUUUUGUGAUGUGAUGUCUGUGAGAUAAAAAGGUAAUUGGGAAGAUAAAAAAGUGCGUUGAAAAUUGUAAUGAUGAUGUAAGCAAAUAAAUUUUGGCUAAUAAAUCUCUAUCCAAACAAAUUAAUUUAUUACUUCAUGGUGCUGUGCCUAUCAUGACACCCAGAAGAAUGCACAUUGAAUAUUUCCAAAGCGAGGGAAAAUUUUUCGUCAGGAUUUGUUAGCAAAGGUUGUUGUUGAUCUUGUGAUUAGGAGUAAUUCUUUUCUGGGUUUGUUUGCUGACGUAAUGCACAUUGCUUAUCCCUAGAUUCGGAGUCCUUCAACUCUUGUUUCGGCAAGAGAACAAAUAACAUUUACAGAAACUUCGAAUUCGGCUUUGUUUGGAUGGUGGCUUACUUGCAACAUGUUAUAUAAUUGCAUCAUCAGCAUAUUUCUUAAUCAUUUUUUUAUUUUAUAUAUAUUAUAUUCAAAAAGUGCCACGAUGUUUUUUUUAAAAAAACUAUCUCAAAUAAUCUAGUGUCCAAACGUCAACACAAAAUUAAUAAAAGAAAUCCACUGAGCUUUAUUUGGAGAGAAAGAGGAUACUUUUUUUUUAUGAAGAUUUGUUAUAGAGGUCACUUAUGUUGAUUUAUCUACAAAUUGUAUGUUCAUUACGUUAUUAUUUCCUUAGUAAAUUGUGUUCGUGCAAAAAUCCUUUAGAAAGAACGGUUGAAAAGAGUGUCUUUUUUUUUGAAUUUUCAAAGAUGUAGCUCAACAAAGAAGCCAUAUUUAACCACAUGAGCAUUUGUAACCCAAAAAAAAAGUGUCAUCUUCACUUGUUAUGACUGCAAACCACUGUUAAUAAAAGCACAAGACAAGUAUGAUACAAAAUAUGAUAAGAAUUUUUUUUUAGAAAAGUACGAUUAAAAAUUUGGCGCAAAAAGAAGUAUUCACAAAAUUAGACAUAUAAAUUUGUGUACGAAUAUAUUUGAAAGUUGUGAAACUAAAAAUACAAUUAAAAUUAGAAGAUAGGUCAUUGAUCUUAUUCAAAUUUUUAAAUUUUUUUUCAAAAUUAUUUGUGAAGAAUAAUUCGUGAAGUAUAAUACGUCAAAAGUUUAUUACGUGUUUUAUACGAUUAAUUAAAAAGUAUGAAUAUUUGGAUUCCAGAAUAAUUUUAAAAUAUAUAAAAUAUAAAUUUUUUUAUUUAUACAUAUUAACAUGUAUUAUACAGGUAUAAUAAGAGCAUUUACUAACUAGUCUUCAAAUGCUCCUUUUUUCCGUAAAUUAUCCGUGGUCUAAAAAGAACUAAAAGAUUGAAAAAAAUCUAGUAAAAAAUGGUUUAUCUUUGUUUAGCAAUUUGACUGUGCUUGUGAAAACUUUUUUUUUUAACUUGUGCUUGUAAAAUAUUCCUAUCAAUUGCGAAAUUAGUUACCUCAAUCUAGGGCUAGAAACAAGUCGAGUCAAAUCGAAUUUUAGCCAAAUCGAAUCGAUUCUCAAUUUAAAUUUAUCAAUCUCGAGCUUGAGCAUAAAUAAAUAAAAAAUAAUUAUUUUAUUUUUAAAAAAAGAAUAACAUUGUAAUUUUUCAAAAUAAAUAAUAAAUUAUUAAAAAUAUAUAUAUAAUUUUAAUAUUUUAAAAAAUAUAUAUAUAUUUAUAAUUGAAUCUAUUUGCGAAUUAACGAAUUAAGUCCCUUUAAAUUCGAGUUUGAAUUUGACCUCAACUUGGCGAGCUCCAAUCCGAUUCAUAUUCGGUGUUGAUCAAGUUCGCGAUCCUGCUCGCGGUCCGCUGUCGCGCGGCUCGAACAACCAAAGUGACUGACCAAUGACGACAAUGCGCGUCCGUUGACUUCAUUCCCUAACAAUUCAACGACAAAAAAAAAUCAAAUCAAAUCCCCUGUAAAGUGUCCAACGAUUCAGGCACAGCGUACAACACCCCACUGCGGGGCAGCCGAGCUCGUCAGAGCCACACCACUCUUCAGAGCUCAAACUUUCUUUCUGACACUCGUUUUCUGCUCAUAUUUCUUCUUCUAGACCGCUGUCGUAAAUUUCCAACUUUCCACGGACCGGAAUUAGGGUUUAAGACCUUGCACACGUAGUUUUAGCUUGGUUUUCUGAUCGAAAAUGUCGAACUUUUCGCGUAAAUUGAGGUUAUCAUCAACGCUGUUGAAGCGUUUGCAACAAAAUGUUAUCGCGGUAAAUUCGAAGAACGUGUGUAGAUCUUUUACCACGACGGAAGGGCAUCGUCCGACCCUUGUUCAUAAACGCAGUCUCGACAUUCUUCACGAUCCAUGGUUCAACAAGGUUAGACGAAGGAUCUUAUCUGUUUUGCUUUUUUUUCUCUUGGUUUGUUUCUUAAUUUUCGCAGAUUUACUAGUGAUUCUAGUUGUGAAGCUAAGAGCUUUAUUUAUAAAUGCUUAACUAUGCUGAGAAACAUUUGAAUUUUUCGACCUUCGUGUGCUUCAAUUAUUUAUGAUUUGCUGGAUUGAGAAUGAGCUUCUGGCAGCAGCCGAAGACUGUGAGCAGUUGCAGAUUGUAAGGAUAUGCUUCAACAGUAGAAGUGGUUGUACACUUGCACGAAAGAAUCUCCAUAACUCAAUUGUGCAUGACUCAACUCUAGCUUGGCCAUCUUUUUUCCCCUCUUUGGGGUAUAUUGGAGUAUACUGCCAUUGGCUUAUUUGAAGUUUUUAUACUUGGCUAGAUGCUUACUCAAAAUUCCGAGCAAAGUCUUAGUUUUGGAUUGUCCUUUCGAAAGUAGGGAAAAGGAGCUUUUACGAUGAGUUACAUCUGUCAAAUGGUUAUCUAAAGUUUACAUAAUAGCAUGAAUUGCUGAAUGCUAACUGAACUCUUGAGUUAUAAUUCUUAAUUGAGUUGUCCUUGUGGAAGUAUAAUAUUUAUCUUAAAAUGUGGUAAUCUUGGGCAAAUGAGAUUUGUUGGCAAGUAAAUUUUGACAAAUCUUUGGGUUUGGAAAGCCUUUAUUAAUGUUUAUAAUUGCAUCGGAAACUCUUGAACCAUGAGAAGUGACUCGGAGUAGGAAGAAAGUUGCUUGAAAAAUGGGAAGGGAACUCAAACCAGUUGUUCAGUUGUUGGUUUUAACACAUUGGAAGACAUACUAGUGCUCCAAUUUCAUAUGGAGUAGAGAUAUGAUGCACAUUUCUCAUUUCUAUUAUGAUCCUCUACAGACUCUUAUUUAACAUAGAAUGUCUCUUGACACUUGUACAUGGUUCAAGUCUUCAAUAGUUGCAUGUUGUUGAAUACAAGAUGUGGCUCUUCGUGGUCCAAGGUUUGAUUUUCUCAAGGUGUAUGAAGAAUUAAUUCCUUGCUUUAGAUCUGGGAGUUUAUGCUCUUUGAAUUCUGAAGUGAGUAAAGAGUGCAUAGUUUUAGCUUCUUACAUAGUCGUGUUUCAAAUGCUAGGGAACAGCAUUCUCAAUGACAGAACGUGAUCGCCUUAACCUUCGUGGGCUUUUGCCUCCAACUGUUAUGUCUUCUGAACAGCAAAUUCAGCGCUUCAGUAAGUCUUAAUCGAGUGAUAUUUCAUAUGCAAAUGGAUAAUACAGGAUUUCCAUCCCAACAGGAAGUAAUUGAUUAGUUUUGUGUAGAAAAUUCGUGGGAACUAAGUAAAUCAGAUUAAUUACUCAGUUGUUAAGAUUGAGAUGUUCUUGAACUUUAAGUUUCAGGCAAGAAGAAAGUCGGUUUUCAACUUAGGUAGUUUAGGAUCAGAUAUUACAAAACAGAGGGCUAUGGUUCUUUUAAUAUUUGUUAUUAAAUUUUGUUAUUUAGUCUCAAUAUGCUUUAGCCAUCCUAGUGAGAAUUUGACUUCCUUUUAGGCUACCAGCAUUUUUUAUGCCACGUAAAGUCACUUGACCUUUCAAAAUCAGACAAGUUCUGUAUUAUAAGUUGUUACCCCUUUGCAUUUUAACAUUCUCGGAUAUCCAGUAGAUUCUGAAACUUCUAUUGUGUUGCUGAAAAGUGAAAAGUGUUGUUUUUUAUGGUUGUCUCUCCUAGAUUUUUAGUUGCUUCUCUAACUUAAUAGAGCUUUAUCUUGUUUUAGGUUUUAAAAUUGAGAUAAAGAUGCUUAAUUUUUUUAAUGUUGCCUUAUAAUAAAUAAUUAUCUAGGCUUGUAUUAUUUCUGAUUUCUUCUUGGACAACAGUGGCUGACCUCAAAAGACUUCAAGUCAAUGCUAGAGAUGGACCAUUUGAUCCAAAUGCUUUGGCCAAGUGGCGCAUUCUCAACCGCUUGCAUGACAGAAAUGAGACUAUGUAUUACAAGGUUGGUGCUUAUAGUACUGCUUUCUAUUUAUCUUGCUUGAAUUUUUUCAAAUAAGAUGCGAGGUUACUAACUCUGGACUCGACUUGUUGGUUUGAUCUGUUAGAGUUGAAUUUUAUCCAAGAUAUACUUUAAAUCUAGGUAUUUCAAUAAAUUCAAAACGUAUGAGGAUAUAGAGAUGGCAAAUAUUGGUAAUAAAGGAAAACCAGAGCAGUUGUACACUCUGGAAUUUCCUUUUUUUCUUGUUUUCUUUUCUUUGAGCAUAUCUUUUUUUAUUAGGACCUGUUUGCUCAUCUAAUCAAGUGUGAAAUCUUUGCCACGUGCAAUAGCUUGAAUCAACAAUUCAACUCCAACAGCAUCUAUUUUAAUUGCAAUUGUAACAGCUGUGUCAUAGUGACAACUUAGUUUUGGCUGAUGACUAGCUCUUUCUUGGUUUUGUGCUGGACAUAUAUGAUUGGAGCUUUCACAAACCUUCUUCACUUGGAAUUAUGCAAUUUCUCUACUAUAAUUUUCCAUUUUCUGUUGUGCCAAGGCAUUUUGCUGAUUGUUGACAUUUGAAUUUUCCAGAGGCAAUUUGGAUUCAUAUUCGUAGCUCAUUUCAAUGCUGCACAUGUUGAACCAGAGAUUUUAAAUGAUGUUGACAGGUUUUAAUUGACAACAUUGAGGAAUAUGCACCUGUAGUUUACACCCCUACUGUAGGUCUGGUGUGCCAGAAGUAUAGUGGAUUAUUUAGACGACCAAGAGGAAUGUACUUCAGUUCAGAAGAUCGUGGAGAAAUGAUGUCAAUGGUAUAUAAUUGGCCUUCUGACCAGGUUUGUAGCACUUCUGGAUAUCUAAUCCAUUGGGAAGUUUUUAUAUUCUGGCAUGAAUUUAUUUUGUUGAAUUGCCAUUACCAAUAUUUUGUAAACCUUGAAAUUAGUGGACCAAAUUCAGGAAUUAUGAAGCUUCAGUAGUAUUUUGUGAAACUUUGCUCAUGUAGUUUUCAGUAAAAUCUUGUUUGUGAUUUAGUUUAAGUAAAAGUUAAAAUGUACUGAUGUGUGAUCUUUUGCUGCAGGUUGAUAUGAUUGUUGUCACUGAUGGAAGCAGGAUUUUAGGUCUUGGAGAUCUUGGAGUUCAGGGAAUUGCAAUUGCAAUAGGGAAGCUGGAUCUUUAUGUUGCUGCUGCUGGAAUAAACCCUCAGAGAGUAUUUUCUUACUCUUAUGUAUCCAGCUGUAUUUGAUGACUGCAUUGGAUUUGUGGAUUAUCAAAUGAAUUGGGACAUGAUGCUGCUGCUAUUUCUUCAUUCUGUUGUUGGAUAAGCUUUUAAGAUUUCAUGACUAGGACUCAUUGACAUAACAAAUGGAAAAAGUGUCAUGACGAGCAAUAGAGUAAACAGUUUAGUUUUUUAAAAUUCUCUCAUAAUGUUAAAGAAGGUUUUGCAUUACUUGAACAGGAACUUCAAAUCUUAAUGCUGAAAUCUUACGAGCAAACAAGAGGGUAUUCACCUGCUGUAUAGCCUACUCAUAUAGAAGCUCAAUUUUUUUUUUGUCUUGACUAUUCUAAAGUUUAUGCCACUCCCUCUUUUGGAUAUUAAACUCACUUAUAGGAACUCCUACCUUUUAUUAAAAUGCCACAAUGUUGCUUUUGAGUUAUUCCAGCUUGCCCUCAUGCCCAAUGAUAACUAGUCAUUUUGAUUUGAGGAAAUGGUUGCCUUGAGGUCUCAUUUCAUGUAUUGGCGGAAUGAAACUUCGGACUCGUUUUGGUGUAGUUGGAGUGACGCAGAUGUGCCUACCCACAUAACAGGAUUGUUAUGCGCUCACUAUAUUGUAGAUUAAAAAAUUUUUACAUGUGCCCCACAUAAAGUAAUCUAACAUCUUUUCAAGACUCAUUUAAAGGUAAUAGUAUAAAAGAAACAAAAUUUAGUGCAGCUCUAAUUUUGCUGUAGCAAAAAAGGUGAAAUAUGACAUUAGCAAUGAGAUUAUAACUGCUGAAUGUCUAGAAUUAAAUCAAGAGAGUAGUGACUUUAAGACUUCUGUAUCAGUUUUAUGCUGACUUUCUUCAAUCUUAUCCUUGGUCUUCUCAAAUUCAUUGUCUGCACUUUUGCUGGAGUUGCCUUUCACACGCCAUCAAAUGCCUUUAGGAGAGAGUUCGUUGACCAUCUUGUGUUGUUUCCUGAAAUUUUCAACUUUUGCUCUAGUUUAUGCUGUAAACUGAAGUUCAUGUUAUAUAUUCGCAAGUUGACCAAUACUUACAUGUGCUUCUAUUUGACCCCCUAUAGGUGCUUCCAGUUAUGAUUGAUGUAGGAACUAACAAUGAGAAGCUUCUUCAUGAUCCUUUGUGUAAGUGUGUUCUUCUCCUACAUUUGGAUUAAGCUACUGUCCAUUAUUUUAUUGCUUGUGACCCUUUUCACUUUGUGUGACUCUUGGAACAUUGGAACCAAAAGGAACUUGGAUUAGUGAUUUUGUCAUUAUCUCUAGAAAAGAUUAAGAGUAGCUUUCCUAUCGUUAAAAGGUGGUGAUCCAUGAAGCUUAAGCCAUAUUUGUGUUAGUCUAUAGAGCUUUACUGGAUACAAUACAAAUUUCUAAAGACUUCAGUUAUAUGUGUUUUGAGCAUGAACUUUUUACAUUGCUCCAUUGAUAAUCCUUAGAGUUUCUGAGUUUCUUUAAAUGCUGAGUCUAGAUUGGAGCAUCCAACAAGGUUCUUUUCUUAUAAAAGAAUUCUAUAUGGUUUUGCAUGCUUACAAUAAUACAUGCAUUGUUUUAACUGUGUCAGUGGAUCAUAAAUCGUACCUCAGCUCUUGAUAUAAAUAGGUUUUAUCCUUGGUUUUUGUUGUUAUAUAGCCAUCAGUAUAGUAAUUUGUGAGCUUCCACAAUUAUUAGAAGUUGCUUUUUUAUUGUUAAUUUGAGAUUAAGGACUAAAUGGGUACACAAUGGGGACAUAAAACUGUCAAAAUGCAGUUUUUGAUAUAGCAACGGCCAAAUUGAGAUCUCUAUGAUACUUACAAAGUAACCAAUUAGCUAACUUGCCAUGCUUCUUACAUUUUUCUCUUUCCCUUAUUGCUUAGCAUGGUUUUCUUGCUCAAACUGCACUGUGCAAUCCAGUCUACCUGUUUUCAUGAUGCCAUUUUGAUUGCUUAAUUUUUGUGCUGCUAUUAAGGCUGCUCUAAUGUGGAUGUUCAGAUUAAGUUAUUGAUGUCUGCUUUCUGUAGAAGAGUAUAUUUAUUAUAAUCUUAAUCAAGGUUGAAAGUCCAUCUUUCAUAACUGUAUCCUACAAGUUCUUUCUUCAAAUCUUGUAAUUUCCUCUAAGUCAUUUCAUGUCUUGAAUCCAGUAAUGUGGAGCUAGGGGUUCACCUAUUUGCCCUUUUUUUUCGUGACUUUUUGGUCAAUAUGUGUUACAUUUCAUGUCUAUAGACUUGGGAAUACAGCAGCAUCGCCUUGAAGGAGAUGAAUACCUUGCAGUCAUAGAUGAAUUCAUGAAUGCUGUCUUCACUCGUUGGCCCCACGUCAUUGUGCAGGUAUUUCAUCAAGUUUGUUGUAGUUAUAUUGAUUUAACCAAAUGUUGAGGAUCUUCAUGUUGAGCUCUUACAAGAAAUGAGGAUGUCAAGAUUUUUGUUGCCAUUGUCAUCAUUUUCCCUUGCUCUUAACAAAAUGUUGAAAGCAUUUUGCAUUGUUGCAGUUUGAAGAUUUUCAAAGCAAGUGGGCCUUUAAGCUGUUGCAGCGUUACAGGAACGAUUACAGAAUGUUCAAUGAUGAUGUUCAGGUAAAAUUUCUCUGACUAAUAUGACAUGGCAUACUAACUAAAAAUGUAUGUUUGUACAAAGGAUAAUAGCAUUGUACUGCAGAAGAAAAUAUGAUUUACAUGGUAGAACAACACAAUUCAGGACCUUGAGAUAUAUUGCAGGCAUUAUUUGUUGAGAAGGAAAAAAAAAGGAAAAGAUGAAGCUCCCCUUAAUUCAUUACCAGCUUUCUGAAAGGAGAAACAUGAGCCAAGGAGAAGUUGGACAUUAGAAAUGAAUAAUGGUGGUCUGGGAAAGGGGAAAUGUGUAGGUGAUGAAAGGGUAAAUUUACAUACCAGAUGCCAAGUGGAAGUCUCUCUGAGAUAGAAUGCCCUUUGAGUUGGGUUUGUUGAUUGAUUUUUCAACUGUGAACCUAUCAUAGACUUGAGUUUCCAGAUUUCUUUAGAGUAUCAGAAAUCUAAAUUUGUGAAGUUGCUUGAUCCAAGUACUCUAUUAACUGACUUCUAUCACUUCCUUUAGCAAAAGUUUUUUAUUACUGGGUAUACUUGAUUGGCUAAAACAUAGCUGACGUUGGAAAUAGUAUAUGAUUUGGGAUUUGGCCUAAUGCUAGUGAAUGAGAUCAGUUGCACAUCAAAAGUUGUCUAAGGUGCAUUGAACAUCAAAGUAAAUUGCAUGGACGUGAAAAAUCUCAAUCACUUACAGGGUACAGCUGGAGUUGCAAUUGCUGGUCUUUUAGGGGCUGUAAGAGCACAAGGGAGGCCAAUGAUUGAUUUUCCUAAGAUGAAGAUUGUAGUUGCUGGUGCUGGAAGGUGAGGUUUUCUAGUAAUUUUCAGUUUCCUUUUCUUUGUCUUCCUUUCUUUUUGUUUCUUUUCUUUCUCUUUCAUGCCUUGGUAGAGGGAGGUUGAGUCAUGCCUUGAUAACAUUGUAGUUCACAUAUGCUGUUUUGCUAUUCAUUGUUCUCCCUGUUCAUUUGUACAAGGAUAUAUACAGUUUCGGACUUGCAUAUUUAGUUGGUUAACUAUAGCAUGGAUUGUCAUUUUAGGGAAUGUAGUGUGAUGAAGUCAAAUAUGCAGACCAAGAACUUUUCCUAGGGAGGAGGAUAUUAGUCCAGGAAAUAUAGCACGCUAGGGUAAACAUUGUUAAGUAUGCCUGAAUUGUUUUCUAUGAAUGCAGUGCAGGAAUAGGAGUUCUUAAUGCUGCUAGGAAGACCAUGGCAAGAAUGUUAGGAAACACUGAAGUUGCUUUUGAAAGUGCUAGGAGUCAAUUUUGGGUGGUUGACGCCAAUGUGAGUAAUCUCAUUCAAUGCUCUGUUCUUCUCAGUGUCUGCUAAUGUUUGAUCAAUCCUUCUGAUUUUAAGUUACAAUACACUUUCUUAAUGUGGGGAGAUUGCUUUCUAUUACAAUGUUCUAUUCUAAUGAAGUAACUAAUUUAAUUUACCCAGCUCUCAGUUUUGCUGGAGAGGCUGCUUGAAAAAUCUGUUUUGAAUUACAGAUUAUAUAGAACAUGUUCUUAGUGUCCAAAAGUGAUUAAAAGGUUAAUUACAUCAUCUAUAAGUUCAAUGGAUUAUCCUACUUAUACCUUAUCUUUUAUGAAAAAUCACGCGUCAGUUUCUGUACUACUACUUAGGUAAAGGGUGUUAUCUAAAGCUUUUGGAUUCUGUAUUGGAAAAUCAAAGUAUUAUUAAAUCCAAAGUCAUUUUAAAAAAGAAUGUGUCAUAUUUACUGCAUUAACCUGUCUUGGCUUUUACUUGAUGAUUCACCGCAAAUUUGGACAAAUCCCAGCUGGUCAUGGUCUAGAAUCGGGUGGGACUUGGUCUGAGGUAUAAUGUUCUCAUUUUCUACAUCAGAAGUUAAGAAUUCCCGUCUGAGAUUGCGGUUUUAUUUUGGAUGGAGUCAAUGCAAAGAACCACUAAUACUACUCAGACUGUGAAUAAUUGGCAUUCUACUACAACUUUUGUAGCCCUUCUAUCAUGUUGACUGCUCUCAUGCGACUUUUUUUACUAAAUACAAAGAAUUGUUUCAUUGAUUAUACUGCUUUUUUAGCAACCUGAUAGUUGGAACAGUUGGCUGUUUAUUUUGGUUUUGAAGGUAGUAUUUUUGUAGGUAGCAUUGAUUUGCGCGGAACAACAUUUGCAUGGUUCAACUUAUUAGUUUUGCUCUUUAUCAGGAUCUGUACAAGUUAUCAGCUGUCUUUAUUUGGAAUAGUUGCAUGUUCAUACUGAACAGUAUCAUGUUGUGAACGAUUCGUAAAUGAAGUUGAUGUUGACUUCUACUAUUUCGAAGCACUGAAAGAUAUGACUAAAUAGUUUACACAUCCAUUUUGUGAGUUUAGGGACUGUUAACUGAGGCACGUGACAGUAUUGAUCCAGAGGCUCGCCGAUUUGCAUGGAAGGUAAAAGAAGCUGACCGUCAAGGGCUUAAGGAAGGAGCAAGUCUUGCAGAAGUGGUCAGUGAAUGUUUUGACCUUUCACAGAUGUGAAUGCUUAAUAUUGCAAAUCUUUACAUUUUUUCUGCUUUUACAAUCGAUUGGUUUCCAUGUUGUUACUCAAGGACUUCCCUAAGCUAUGCACUGCCUUCUUCUAUUUGCAGUAUAUCUAAGAAAUCAAAUUCUACUAACACAAGUAUGUAUUUGAAUGUGCAAACUAAGUUUCUCAAACAUCCCACGUGUCUAGGUUUGAUAAUUAAAUACUCAAUGAAACUAAUCUGAGAGAGCAAAAAUAUUUAAGAUGAGAACUGCCUGUAUGGCCUUCAUUCUGUUUCUUGAAGGAUUUCACGAGUGAGUUUGGCUAGAAUAGUUGGAAAAUUAUGCAGAUGGUUGUUGUCUCAUGGUUACUUUAUUCCCCUAUACUUUGGGGAGUCAUGGGAUGUUUAUGAUAAAAAUAAAUAACUGCUGCAGUUUAUUUUAGCCCUUGAAUACAUGCCAGGAAGAUCAUGACAACCAAUUAUUAAUGACCUAUACUUGUAAGACUUCUUUUCUGCAAAGUUGUGUGUGUUACAUGUGCUCAUGAAUGAAACACUAAUUUGCUUCAUGUCAACAUGCUAUAAUUUAUUCAUAUUAAAAUUUCCAAAUUUUAGUAACUCAAUGUAGUUCUUUUGUGUGUGUGUGUGUGUGCGUUUUAUGGACCUCUGACUGCUGUUAAUAUGAAUAAACCACCAUCUGUGUUCAGCCUGCAAUUUGAAUUCCAAAGCUUUCUCUCUCUCCCUCUCUCUCUUCCCCUUCCCCUUUUCUCCCUUUCCUUCUGAGUUUUCUGUUAAUUUGUUUGGGAAUUUAAGCUGCACAUCUUUCAAAAUUGUUUGUUGUAGGAUAUCACAGCUAGGCGCUUAAAAAAAGAAGAUCAGCGAACUUGCAAGCAUUUGUUAACACCCACUUUACCUGUUCAUAUGACAGCAUAAUUUAAUAUCGGGUCCAGGAUUCGAGUCAAAUCUACUUUGCUAUGUGAUCUAAGCGUUAACAUUUUUUAAUUGUGAAAUUACAUCUUCAGGUUUCCUUUAUUGGCAUGUGAUUUUGGUCAUGAGCUUCAUUUUAUUACUAACAGGUCCGUCAAGUUAAGCCAGAUGUACUUCUUGGUUUAUCUGCUGUUGGGGGCCUGUUCUCUAAAGAGGUAUGCCUUUGUUGCAUAAUCAAUAUAGAGAGUUUUUCCUCUGUAUGAGAAACUGAAGUUGAGUGCUGACUUAGAUAUUAAGUUGGAAGUGGCCGAUAAAUUUUUCUCUUCUGUCAUAAACCAUAUUUUCCUCCAUAUCAAUGGACAACUUCAAUAAAGAUGGUACUGCUUUGUAAUUCAAGUUAACAUAGCACUGCAAUUUACUCAUUAAUGGUCAAGGGUUGUGUUUUUGUUAGAAUUGCUGCAAUCUAUAAGUUAGUAUUGCAGUCUGAAACUUCAAAAGAAUUCUCAACUUUCUGAGAUUGAUGUGGUUCAUGUCCAUCUUCUUUUACUUGUAUUCAUGUGCUUCUAUGUUAACCAAUGCCUAUACAAUUGUAUAGUAAUUGGUUAGCUAUAUGGUUCUUUUUCGUCUGCUUUCCUACAUUCAAUCAAUGCGAAACUAGCUUUGCCUUUGUAAUAAAGGCUUGUCCUGUUUUUCCUUGGCUUUAGUCCACAUAAAUAAUACCAGCUGUAAGUACUCUUCUAUUUGUUUAACUUUUCCCAUAUGUUUUAUGCUCUUGAUGAGAACAAAGCAAGCUUGAUGACGUGAGGAUCAUCCAAAAAGACUUUCCUUUAACAAUAUUUAUAAGUGAUUGGAAAUACUUUUCUGUCUUCAGGUGUUGGAAGCCCUCAAAGAUUCAACUUCUACGAGGCCGGCUAUUUUCCCAAUGUCAAAUCCAACUACCAACGGUAUCUUCUUCACGAAGCAGAGAAAAGAUUUGAGCAUUGUGUACGAAGAGCCUCUAUAAUUUGUUUUUGACUUUUUGAAUUUUUCUAGCUGAAUGCACUCCUGAGGAAGCAUAUUCUAUCGUCGGUGACAACAUUAUAUUUGCAAGUGGCAGUCCGUUUAAAAAUGUUGAACUGGGUAUGUCUUGUGCCUAAUGCUUUUAUAUUAGGCAUUGGAUUUUCUUUCAUUUUUUAAUUUUAAGUAUCCAAAAACCAUUUAAGCUGGAAGAAGCUAGACAAGAUUAACAGUUAGAUGCAUGACAAAAAUACAAUUAACUACCAGAUUAGCAUUAUCAAUGACACAAGGCUGUCAGUCUUCUAUCUUUCCUACAACUCAACCUCACUCAUCAUACCCUCGUUUACCCAUGAACACUAAUUUCCAUGAUUCCGAUCGAUAUCUGACAGCAUUCAUCUUACUCCAUGAUAGCUACAUCAGAUCUCACUAAUGUCCAUGACACUGCAUAGUUCACCUUUUUUGGGUUCCACUGGUAAUUUCUUGGUGUUAAAAUCUUAUGCUGUUUGCUUGAUUAGCUUUCUGGAGGAAAACACGUCAGAACCUCCCAAAUUUUGACAUAUAUGAAAGCAUAUGCUCUUCUCCUUUUGGGAAACUCUGUUCAAAUAAAAGAGAAGAUGCUUCUUCCAAGGCCAAGAAUUUUGUGUCCAAAGAAAGAGCUGCAAGUUGAUCUGUUAAACAAUUCCUACGGAUUUUAAUUAUUCUCAUUCUGUCUUAUUUAAAUGUAUGUAUCAAGACAUCUGGUCUGUAAAUGCAUUCUGAACCAUGUCUCGAUGAAUAGGAGGCGGUCGUAUUGGGCACUGCAAUCAAGGAAACAACAUGUACCUUUUUCCUGGGUAAGAGGCUAAACCUUGGACAUACAAAGUAAGAGUUUAUCUGAUCUUUUAUAUUUUGAUCUAUAUCUUGAAUGUUGCAUUUGAGUUCACAGGAUAGGACUGGGUACUCUUCUAUCCGGGUCUAGAAUCAUAUCAGAUGGCAUGCUACAAGCAGCUGCUGAAUGGUAUUUCCUGUAUAUUUUAUCUGGACUAAGAAAUAAUUAAGUUUACCUCUGAAACCAUCAUGAUAUCCAAAUUCACUGACAGAUUCCAAUGAUUAGACCUACAUGUCAAUGGGGCCAUUCAACAGUGUGCUUUCUUUUGUUUAAGAAACAAAAUGUGUACAGCCGUCUUAUGUGGUUUACUUGUUUCUAUUUGGAGAAUCUGUAAGCUUUGUUAAAGUAAUAGAACACUGUGGUUCCGAAGCUUACAAAUUCGAAAGAAAAUAAUCCUGUUGUUUCUUGUUAAGAGAUAAUGUCUAGAUACUUCUUCAUAGAUUCAAGAAUGGCAGGAAAUCUGGACACUCAUUUGCUGUUCAGCAGCCAAUAACGAAUAGACCGAAAAUUUUAGUUUUUGAACAAGGCAGAAUCAUGUAUGACUUGCAUGAAUUUAGAAUAGAUGUUUUCUGCUGGCAAUAGGGAAUUAUAACCUUUCUGACAUUGAAUUGAAAAUUACAGUCUAGCAGCAUAUAUGACAGAGGAGGAGGUGCUCAACGGGAUCAUAUACCCUCCAAUAUCCAAGUAAGGAUAGGUUUUUAGUGAUCAGAUUGCAAUUUGCUUCAGCUAGUAGUUCCUAUAUCAAGGGAGGUACAGUGUUGAUAUGAUUCCUGCAUGCAGGAUACGAGAUAUAACCAAGGAGGUAGCUGCAGCUGUCAUUAAGGAAGCUGUAGCAGAGGAUCUGGCAGAAGGAUAUCGUGAAAUGGACAGCCAUGAACUAAGGAAACUUAAUCAGGUAUCUUCCAGUAAUGCUGAUCUUCUUCACCAUUGCUUUUUCUACACAUUUAAAACAGCAGACCUGCUUGAAAUGCUUGUAGGUCUUGGGGCAACAUGAGCUUCUAUAUGGCUCAUAACGGCUAUCUUGUAUGCAUAACCUAUUGAAUCAUAGCUGGUACAAUUAAUGUCUUUGUACAUGAUUACUGGAGAUCUUGCGAAAGCUAGUCAUAAAAUCUAGUUUGCUGAAUAUAUGAAGCAUAAUACGAGUUUAAGAUAACUUUUUCUGGCCACUGAGUGGCUGUAGGAAUUUUUAUAACCAAAGUGUGAAUGAGACAUGUUAGUUGAUUAGGUUGUGUUCUUUACACAACUUUGUCUAUGGUCGAAUUCAGUCUCCCAGUGAACUUCCAUAUGUAUCAAGUACGGUUUGUCUGUACAAAAUCAGCCGUUUACUAACUAUGAUUUCUUUACUUAUGUUUCUCCCCAAUUUGCAGGAAGAAAUUGCAAAUUAUGUUGAAACCAAUAUGUGGAGUCCAGAUUACCCAACGCUUAUAUACAAAGAGGAUUGAACGCACCCAACCUUUCUAGGAACAAUUUGGCGAGCGUGAAUGAAGUAUUCUAAUUUUUACUUGGACACAACCACAAUUGGUACUUAGCCUGCAAUGUCUGUUUCCGGAGAUUGUAAUAUAUAUUUUGUUUAGGUUCUGAGCUGCAUGUAUCUAUCAAUUUCCGUGGAAAUUUUUUCACCCUUCCCAAAACCCAAAAAAACCCAAUAGAUCCUGUAAACAGUAGAAUUUGGGAGCCAAGUUUUGCCAUAACUCUUCCCCUGUUCUGAGUCUAUAGCGAGGAUGAGGAUGGUGAUGCAAGAAGGCCUUUUGGUUCGGAUUUUUUGCUCUAUUCUUGUAAGUGAAUCGAUGAUGACAUGAAGGCCAUUUUUAUUCUCGAAUUGAUAUAAACGAUGACGAAUUGUAUAAACAGUUAGAGGUGAGUAAAUAGAAUAAAAAUCAAGGAUCCUUAUUUGACAAACGCAAAAUUACAGAUUACGAGAUUCUUGACUAGACAGAAAAGAAAGGGAGUAGAGUAGCACCAGGUUAAAUCAGAAACAAGAAGCUGAGAUCGGAACAGAAUUAAAUAAUAAAUAAUAAUGCUACAAAAAGAAUUUAUUUUUAACAUUUUUUUUGAAUAAAUAUUUUUCAUAGUUGAACUUUUGGAAAAAAAAAAGAUUAAUUUUUCUUACACUGAUAGUGUAUAAAAUUUGAAACUUAACUUUUGUACACAUGUCAUGAAUGAAACAGUAAUAGUGUAUAUAUUGUCUGUGUGUAUAAGAUUUAUUCAAAAAAAAAAAAAAAACUCCAACACCAUUCUGUAAAGUUACUUACUUUUAUAUUGUGAUUUUUUUUAAUCGAGCUCAAAUACAUGUAUUGAUACUUUACUUUCCUAGAAUUCAUACACUUGGAGAUUAAUACUGGAGGCAAAUACCGAAGAUAUAUACUUCACGGUUUCCUGUGGGCUGGGCUGGGCUGGGCUAUCGGGGUAUGGCGGUGGAGUGGGGGCUAUGGCUGGCAGAGGAAAGGUAAUCCCUUCCAUUUUUAUAUAAACUUUCACAAAUGCUCAAAUAAGUAGAGAUUCUGCAGAAGAAUUAUUAUACAUGUAGAACAGAACACUUGGUUCUUUUCUGGGCCUGGGAGAAGAUGAUGAAGAGUGUCCGGCUGGCAAUCGUACUCGUAUUACUGCUGGUUACGAUCCUCAUCAUGCUGGAUUCAACCGUUGCAUUAGAAGCAAUUAGCCACCGCGGUGGCGGUGGCGGUGGUCGAGGUGGAGGCAGCCGUGGUGGUAGCCGCGGAGGGGGCGGUAGUGGAAAGAGGAAUAGAUUUAUCCCGGUUGUUGUAGGAGGUCAUGGCCGUGGUCAUCAUCAUAAGAGCUCCGCCUCGCCCAGCAUCAAGGGGGAUCUUAUGGCUAUGCCUAUGCAUGGUCCUGUCUACUGCAUAUUCUCAUGUAUAAUCUUGUUAUUCCCUAUGAUUUACUAGCUUGUUUUUUUUUCUCAAACACCAUGGAAGCCAGGGCUUGAAAGGGGUGUCAGAUCAGGAGCAGAAUUCGGGCUUUGAAAGGUUGAUAGUCCAAUGUAGAUAUUUAGAGUUUGAGGUCCGUGCUUAUCAGAAAAAUAUCUAAUCUUGCCUGCAUUUUCAGUAGUGCCGUCCAAUUCAUAGUUGUGUAAAUGGAUGAGGUAAAUAUCGUCUUUGUUUAAACUACUGUGUUCACGGGUUCAUGCUUUUACUUGUAACUACAAUUUGGAUUAUCACAUUACAAUUACAAAGUUUCAUGUAAUCUAACGACGUUGAUUAAAAAAAAUUAAGGCACCUAAAUUAAUUCAAAUUCAAAAUUAUUGUAUUAUGGAUUCGUGGUUGGUAAUGUAUAAGCUAAUUGUCGCUCACCACGUAUUUUG
rnacentral:lncRNA from 1 species